CCACCUCCGCUCCGUCCAAAACCACCACCGGAAUUCCGCUACCGGCGAUGAGGAACGGUUAAGGGAAGCUGUGGAGAGAGUGAUGGAACACUUUAGAGAGUACCACAGGGCCAAGUGGGCGACGACGGAGAAAGACGUGAUCGGAGUUAUGGCUACUCCUUGGGCUUCAGCCCUUGAACGGUCACUCCAUUGGGUCGGUGGUUGGCGACCAACAACCUUGUUUCAUCUGGUUUACACUGAGUCGAGUAUUUUAUUUGAGUCUCGUAUCGUUGAUAUACUUCGUGGCUUUCGCACAGGUGACCUCAGCGAUCUCUCUCCGUCUCAGUUCAGGUUAUAUACAUGAAACCCUAGUUAGCUACUUUGUCUACUAAUCACAGCUCGUACUCUUCUAAUGAUAUUGUGUUUAAUUUAUGAUUAAGUAUCUCUUAACGUUGUAAAUUGAUUGUAGUAAUAUCAAAAAUUAUAAUCUGUUUGCCAAAAAUUAUACAAUUUCACACAUACAGCUAGAGAUAUCAAAGAGAUUAAUUUUGAAUAGAGGUUGCUUAUUUGGUUAUUUUUCUUACUAAAUACAAUAUGUUUUAUAAAGUGCAAAAAACAUUUUGAGGGAUAACAACAGAUUCGAGAGAUUAAAAACACAUUUUGUUCAUAGAUGAUCGUUGAUAUAGUUUUCCAGUUUUUUUGUAAUUAUUUUACUUUGUUAUUUAGUAUUUCUUUUUUUCCAAUAUGUGUAAGCAUAUAUAUGGACUAACUUAAUGGAUUUUGACUACUUAAAAAUUUAAUAUUAGGGUUAAAUUUGUCAAAGGCAGGACGGUGAGUGAGCUACAAUGUGAGACGGUGAAUGAAGAGAACGCGAUAACGGACGAGUUAUCGGAGUGGCAAGACGAUGCGAGUGACCUCGUCAUGGGGACCUCUUCCGAUCCCGAGCAGAGGAUCCGACGGCUAGCAGAAAUCGUCCAUCGAACUGAUGAUCUGCGACUGAGAACGAUCACACGCGUGGUGGAGCUCCUGAGUCCGCUCCAACAAGCAGAGUUUCUUAUCGCUGCGGCUGAGCUUCGUACCGGCGUUGCUGGUUGGGGGACUAGCCAUGACCGUCGUCGAAGUUCCGAAGUUUAAAGCUAAUUAAAACGGUUGAAAAGGUAAUGAGAAUUGUGGAAGAAAGUUAGUUUUUUGAUAUUAAUUUUAUGUUCUUACCAUGUUUUUGGUUAUCCAGACUGAGUUUGGUUUUUUUACAUGGUUAUGAAAUAAACUAAAAAACAUGUUGUCUCUCCGGAUGCAAUAAAGAUCAACUUAUGGGUCUUGCUUGUUUUAGUUUACCUUUUUCAGUUGGAUUUCUCUGCAUGUGUGUGAAUUUUUAUGAGAUCAUAUUAUCGGACCUGAUUGGGGCUUUUGGUAACUUGUUUAUAAAAAAAUAAUAAAGACAGAGAAUCGGGGACAUAGGUAAUUGACUAAUUGUUGGUUUCUAUAGACCAAGUGGAUAACCAGAAAACAGAAAAGUCAGCUACAAAAAGAAGAGAUGAAGUGAACGUGGCAUGGUCAUGUGUCUCGAAGACAUGCACGAGGACACUUGGGUAUGGUACGCGUCGCGUCCUCCUAUCACGGCGUCGAUUCCAAACAUUUUGUUUGGUUUUAGUUUCAAGAUUCUUCCUCUAAACAUUGAUACCAAAAAAAAAAAAAAAGAUUCUUCCUCUAAAUAGUCUUUCUUUUAAGCGAAGACAAGAUGAUGACAUGACAAUUUUCUUCUUGCUAUUACUCAUAGGGUUUUUGAUUGGUUGAAGAGGAGACAUAGAUUUUUUUUUUUUUAUUAUUGCAUAAAAUGCUUUUUUCUAUUUCAUAAAAAAUGCUUAGUAAACCUAAUUUAAAAAAAAAACUACAAACGUGACUUAUUUAGGCCUUUAAAAGCCCAAAACAGCCAAAUCGGCCCAAUAAAAGAGGAGAGACUGAGGUUUGGCCCGAAACCAACGUAUAUUGUAUUUACAAUUAUGCCCCUAUGGCCGACAUCAAUUUACCGACAGACUUCUGCUUUCGAGAAAGGCGGGAACGAGAACAGAACCCUAAUCACCUUUUUCUCGAAUUCCACCAUGGCUAUAUGAUUACAGUAGUCCCCUUCGUGUCUCUUCGUUUCCUUUUCCCUCUCCUUAUAAAUCGUUCCACUCUCUUCUUCCGAGAACAACCACAGUAUCUCCUCUACAACCACAGUUACAUUUUGAGAACAACAAUGCCGGUCGUUGCUGAGUACGCGAAGUCGAAUCGAUCGUCGUGUAAGUCAUGCUCGAAAAAGAUAGCUGUGAAAUCGCUUAGGUUAGGGUUGAUUAGCAAAGGACCUGGCGGGGUUGACAUGACCAGGUGGCACCAUUUCGAUUGUUUUCCGACUGAUUCGGAAUCGAUUGCUUCCGUUGAUGAUAUUCAAGGCUUAUCCGUUUUAGAGGUUAGGGUUUCCUUACGUUUCUGUAUUUUAGGCUCCCUAGGGUUGUUUUUUUUUCUGUCUAAAGUUUUUAACUUUUUUCGGUUAUGUGUGUUCAUGCUUGUGCUUAUAUGGUUACAGAAAGAAGAUCAGGAUGCUUUGACGAAAUUGGUGGAACAAGGUGGUCAAGAACCUGCUAAAAAAGUAAGAAUUUGGAAAGUGAUGUUCUUUAGUCUCAUUUGCUCAUCUACUUUUCCAUAACUGCUUGUAUCUGUUAAACUUAAAGCAGCGUGAUGAGAAGAAGGAAAAGGUUAAGAAGCCUUUAGUUGGGCCGAAGAGGUUUAACGAGGCGACAACUUCAAAAGUUAUUGCUGAUUAUGCGAAAUCGAGCAGGUCAUCAUGCAAGAGGUGCUCUCAGACAAUCGUUUCAAAGGAUCUGAGAGUGGGGCUGGUGACUAGAGACGCCAGGGGAUUUGAUGUGACAAGCUGGCAUCACUUGGGUUGUUUUCCCAUUGAUUGGCAUCCGAUUGAUUCUGUGGAGGACGUUGGUGGAUAUUCAUCCCUUGAGGUUAGUCUUUAUUUACAGAUUAGGAAUUUUCAGUUCAGGGGAUAGAGCUUUUUGAUGAUUAUGGUUACUAGGAUUAUAAUUUGAAACCUCUAAUGCUAUUUACAAUAUUGAUUUAGGUAUUAUAAGUAUUGUCCCUUUGUUUCUCAAAUAUACCAAUGGCACAUCGCUGACAUAUCUUUUAUAUUUGAUUCAUGUGUUAUGCUAAACAGAAAGGUGACCAGAAAGAAUUACAGCAAUUGGCCGAACUAAGCGGGAAGGACACUUUGAUAGAUGUACUAGCCAUAUCCUUAGUCAUAAUAUUUCUCUUUUUUUUUUUUUUGAUGAGAGGAUUGUUUUUUUUUUAAUUUUUUUAAUUUGUUAUCAUGUGUUAACGGGAAAGUAGGUAUUAUAGUCUGUUUUUGCAAAUGUAGACAACUUUACCAUUUCAGGCUUCUUGAAAAUAACUUCUUAUUUCCUUUUCUGGCAGGAUGUCCAGAAGAUGGAUGAAGGUGAUGAUGAAUCUGUAGCUGAUAAUGAGCUAACGGAGGAGACAAAAAAAGGAAAACAUUCCCAGGUUGCAAAAUUGGUGGAACAACCUGGCGAGCCUGCAAAAGAAGUAAGUUCUGGAAGCGACAAUCUUCUUUUGUGCGAGGAAAAAAUGAUAGUUUUGUAUGCAGACUUCAGUCUCAUUUGCUCAUCUAGAUGUAGAGUUUUGACUGAAGUACUUUUCUUAACUGCUUGUAUCGGUUAAAAUAAAGCAGGUCAAUGAGGAUGAAGAGAUAAAAAUGCCUGCAUCUGAUGAAAUAAGUGGGCAGAAGAUUAAGGAGACGACAGGUUCUCCUGAUUCUUCAAAAGUUAUCUCUGAGUAUGCGAAAUCGAGCAGAUCAACUUGCAAGAAGUGCUCUCAGACUAUCGCUGCAAAGGAACUGAGGUUGGGCCUGGUGACCAGAAACUUCCGUGGCUUUGAUAUGACACAAUGGCAUCACGUGGGUUGUUUUCCUGUUGACUCUGAUCCCAUUAGUUCUGUAGAGGACGUUGGUGGAUUUUCAGAACUGCAGGUUAGUCUGUAUUUAAAGAUUCAGGGGAUAGAGCUUCUGAAUUAUUGUAUAUAUCGUCUGGUAACUAGGCUCAUUCGAAACAGAUAAUGCUAUUUGGAAUAUAAAUGUUGGUAUAUAUUAAAUGUAUUGUCAGGUUGGCUUGCCAUCGUUGUCAUGCUAAAUUAACACCCAAACAUGUAUGUAUCCUUGUUUGUGCUAACACAUCUUUAUAUUUGAUUUAAUUAUAAACAGAGUGGUGAUCAGGAUGCUUUAAAGGAAUUGGUCCAACAAUGCGGGAAGAAGACUUUGGUAGAUGUACCAGCAACACCCAUUUUUAUAAUAUUUGUAUUCUUUGACGAAAGCAUUCUGUUUUAAAGCUUUUUUCAUGUCUUAACCAUAAAUUAAGUAUUAUAGUCAGAAAAUGUAGUGAACUUUAACAUUGUAGGCUUCUUUAAACUAACUUCUUACUUCAUUUCGCUGCGGGAUUGCAGAAGAUGGAUGAAGAUAAUGAUGAAUCUGAAGCUAAGAAUAAGCUAACUGAGGAGACAAACAAAAGAAAACAUUCUGAGGUUAAUAAAUAGCAAUAAUCACAUCUUUGAAUACUAUAAUUUUGUUAAUCUGGAAUAUUCCUUGACCUGUAAUUUAUUGUUUCUUAUAAAGGUUGGGGAGAUAGUGGAAAAAGAUGAAUCGCUAACUAAAGCAAACCAACAUAAGGCUAAAACACAUAAGGUAUACAAGCAAUAUGUAUUGAAUACCUGCUAUUGGUAGCCACUCUCUUCAUUGUGUAGAAAUUCUACUUAAUGAUUUUGAAAUAUUGUGUUAUGCAGGUGAAUAUCAGUGAGUCGACUUCUCAGGUCGAGGUCGAAGCAGAAAUCUCUCUUUCAGCUUCUGAUGUGAAGGAUAAGUACAGGGUAAGCACCUAUAGUGUCUAUUAGGUUAAGCCAUGUAUGCCUGUGUUAAAUGUUCUUCUUGGGAGUUUGUAGAUUUGGCAUUUGUAUUCUUUUUCGAGUUCUUUUAUCUCUCUGGCUGCUAAUCUUCUUGUUUCUCAGGAUGCCAAUCUAUUACCAAAAUGGAAAGCUUUUGAGACAGUUAUAUUCCUUGAGCGGGUGAGAAAUCAGCUUCAGAUAUGACGACGCAUCUUGAGUAUAUUUGGUAAUGUGUUAUGGCCUAAUUGUAUAUACCUUUGUUACAUUUUAACAGGAUGAUGGUCUUAAUGAUUCAGAGAAAAUAGCUGCAUUUGAUUUUGAUGGAUGCCUUGCAAAAACAUCUGUGAAAAUGUAAGAAGCUCUUUGGUCACCCAGAAUUCUACUAUUUUCUCCGCGUCUAACCAAGUAGGUUGUCUUUUUCUGAUUUCUGGACCUAUGGGAUAUUCAUUCUAUCUCAAGUGGUUACAUUUCUGAAAUUUUUGUUUAUCCUUUUAAUGGUGUUAAGCAUGAACCUCGUCUUUCCAGGAAAAUAAGAAACAUUGUAAUUUGUCAUAAUGUUUUCUAUUUCCUUCUUUUUCAGAGUAGGGGCAGAUGCAUGGUCCCUAAUGUAUCCUUCCAUUCCUGAGAAACUGCAAAGUCUGUACAAUCAAGGCUAUAAGCUGGUAUCUUAUUUUCAGCUAGAAUAAAGUCUUAGUUACUCAAUAGUCUUGUUUAUAUAGAUUAUAGAGUAGCUGGUUUUAAAUGUUCAACAGGUCAUUUUCACAAAUGAAUCCAACAUUGAUCGAUGGAAGAACAAGCGGCAAGCUGCUGUAGAUUCGAAAAUCGGACGUCUCAACAGUUUUAUCGAGCGCGUGAAGGUCCCCAUUCAGGUUAAGUGUUCUUCUGUUUUCAUAAGUAAGAACGUGAUUGUAUCUACUCAAGAACACUGCUUCAACAAACCCUAGCUAUUAUUAUGAGUAAUGGAAAAGAAACUAUGAUGUAUGCAAUGCCUUGUCCUGAAGUUAGUUCAUAUGGUUUUAAUGAUUUGUUCUGGCGUAUAGGUAUAAUCACUGAGAAAAUAGUGAUGCUGUCUUGCAUGUUCUUAUUAGCUUUCACCCAAAUUUUCAUAGUUUCGAAAGUGCCAAUUCUCUAUUGUUGCUGAUAUUGUCAAGAUUAUAAAUGAUUUUGUUCUGCAAACAGGUGUUUAUAGCCUGUGGAGUCUCAAGUUCUGGUGGUAAAGGUAGUAAAGAUGACUUUUACCGCAAACCCAAGGCUGGAAUGUGGCAACUCAUGAAGAAGCACUUUAACUCUGGAAUUGCAAUUGAUAUGGAUAAGUUAGUUUUCUCCCCACCUGCUCCUAAAAACUUGGAGUUACCUGAAACUUCUAGCUCUGCUGGAAGAUUACACUCAUUUGUCCAUUAGCCUUCCUGAUUAAAUGCUAUCAGUUUGUGUUCUUAGACACUUUCGUUUUGUUGAUACUGACUAUUGUGCUGUUCUCAUCAGAUCCUUCUACGUUGGGGAUGCAGCCGGAAGAAAAAUGGAUCACAGCGACGCUGACAUCAAAUUUGCACAGGUAUUUGUUACAAACAUCAGACAUCUCAGACGAUACCUUUCUUUUAAGUCACCAUAUAUAUAUUUUUCUCGACUUUCCUCAUAGACAACUACUCUCUUUGGUUGCAGGCGAGUGGGCUAAAGUUUUAUACCCCGGAGGAAUACUUUAUCCCCGCAAGUACAUCGGCAGGGACUUAGCUGUACCAAUCUUGUGCCUAUGUUUGCACUUUGCAACUUCUUUUGCUUUUUUUUUUUUUUGUGUUCAAACUAAUAAUAUGCUUUUGUAAUCAAACUAGUAGUAUUCUUUUGUGAUCAAACUAUCAGUAUGUGUUUAACACUCUUUUGUAUAUUACUGAUACUUAAGUGUCAACUAGAGCUUCUUGAACCAGGAAAAAGAAUCUCCUUUGAACAGGCAGGGUUGCAGAAUCAACAUAAUAAACCAUUGAUAACAAAAAAAAGUUCAAAUUUCCGACUCAUUUACACAUGAGAUCGGGAAGAUUAAACUCUUAUGAUGCUAUUAACAUACAUCAAAUAUUCGCUGUCUUUUUCAUUCUUUAAUCAAAUAGACUCGGACCUGAAAUUCACUCCUUCUGACCAAUCUCGCCUUCCAAAAUGGCGUGUCUUGUAAGAACAAUCUCUUUGACAAGGUUUCUGUAAACAAAAGGCCUAACAGCAGCACGGAGAAACAGCUCAGGUGGGAUCCUACUCUUCUUUAUCUUCUUCAUCCACCUUCCAUAUCCUACUGUCUUCCACUCUUCUGGCUUCACUUUUGCCUUCUUACCUCUCAUUUCCAACUCAUCUCCUUCAAUCUCUCCCUUCUCUCUUUCCUCCAAUGCCUUUAACUGCUUCUCAUAAAACUUAUCUGACACCACCAUACUCAUCUCCGCAAGCUUCUCCAUCCUCUCCGCGUUGUUUGUCGCUUUGUUGAAUUGCUCUUCCCAGUACCUCUCAUCCUCUUCUGGAUCCGACUCCUCUAUUUCAUCUUCCAAACUGUCUUCUUCAUCGUUUCCCUCCACAUCCACAACCAUGUUAUCAUCAUCAUCUUCUUCCUCCACCUCACCAUCGUCAUCGUUAUUGUCAGCUUCAUCUUCAAUCCAUUCUGAGAAUUCAGCCUUCUCUGAGCUUCCAUUAAAAUUUGUCUCAUCCUCAUUUUCAUCUGGAGCAUCACACCCCAACUCCAUCUCCUCCAACUUUGCUUUCCACUCCUUUGUAUACGGAUGCAACAACUCGUUCGGGUGGUUUCCAAGCAAGAACUUCAACACUUUGGACUUCUUUUCAUCACUCGACUUCUCAUAAGCAUUCACCACAUCAUCCACAAAAGCUGUCUGUCUCACCUUCAACAUCUUACACAACCCUCCGUAAUAAGUACUCAGCUCCACUCUACCUUCAUCAUCCUCCACUUCACACACAAAUCCAGAUUCCGUUACCGGGUUUAGAUAAGGGAUAAGCGAGUUGAAGAAAUCUUCUUGAGGCUCAAACCUGCACUGAAACACAGGCUUCUUCACAUACACAAUAUCAGGUCUAAACCAAGCCGCACAUUGACAUAUCAAAGACCGAGAUUUGUUCCCCAACCUCCCCAUCAAAUUCCAUUUAUCCAACCUCUGCUUCUUAUCCGCUUCCACAACCACUUCACUAACCAACGUCCAUUGCUCCCACGGCAACUCACUGAGUCUCCAUUUCGGAUGCCUGACAAACACCCAAAAAUACCUCAAACCAACAUUCGAAUCCAACUCCUUAACCCUCUUCUGAAAAGCUAAAUUCAUCUCAUGCUGCUCAAUCUUCUCAAACUCUUCAUGAUUCUCCACUUCACCAAUCAUAGUAACACACUCAUCAGAUAUAGUACCACGAACCGGAUCACCAACCACAACACCACGCCACGAGUAAGGUCCAAACUCACCAUACUUAAACCAAUCAUAAGGAUGACGCAAUCUCGGGUCAUCCUUAUCCAUAAACCUAACCAUCCUAUCGUAACCAAGCCCAAUCAUCUCAAGCUCUUCCUCCGUAAACUUAUCCGGAUGACUACUGAGAAUGUGACUCCGACUCUUGUCAGGGUUAUUAUACAAUCUAUAGAACAAAGAUUCCGCAAGCUUCUUCGACUUAUCACGAGCAUUCCUCUUCACCUGCUUCCUCAUAUCCGCAUCUCCUUCUAUCCUCCCACCAGAUGAACCUCCUCCAAGCUUCUUCUUGCUCCUCCCCGCCAAAGCCCGCACGUCUCGCCGGAAUCUACCAUCUUCUCUAAGAAAAAGCUCCGACCUUUUGACACUGAAAGCAUAAUUCCUCUCGGUAAUAACCGGUAAAACCGAAACGAUCCUUCGUACGCCGGAAUUGAGUGGAGAAUUACGGAAGGAGAAGCUAGGGUUCAGGGUUUUAGAAAAGGUUAAAUCUUGACUCAGCAUUUCUUCUCCAGAAACAGCUUAGAGAUGGUUUAGAAACUGUAUUAUAUAAGGCAAAACGAUACGACGGCGUUUUGCCGCUGCGCCAUUAGUAGUAGUAACCAGAGAAAAAUAAAAAUCUUGUCUUUUUUUUUUUUUUUUUGGUUUCAAUAGAUUAGCGAUGGCGAAGAGGAUCCACCUGACGGAACUAGGCUGCAUCGCGUGUGAGGAACUUAGCGAGCUCGGUGCGGGUAAAGAAGGGUGGCUCGUGAACAAUCCAAACCUUUUGUCUGCACUCGAUUCUCACUCUUUAGCCCUAGCUAACCGAUUUCUCAUCUUGAUUGUGAAUUGGGGUGAUCCUGAUGCGCCUCGUCUUAAGAUCAGACCCGAUCUGUCUCCGAUUGAGGCUGAGUCGAUUACGGCGAUCGAAUGGUUAGUGUUUGAUGACGUCAGAGUCGUGGUUGCAGGGACUUCUUGUGGGUAUCUCUUGGUUUAUUCUGUUGCCGGUGAUCUGAUUCAUAAGCAGGUGAAAUUUAAUAACUUUUUGGUCCGCAUUGUUAAUUUAUCGAUUUCGAAACUGAUGUUUGCUUAAACUGCGGAAACAUUGGUUUUAUGAACAAUGUUGUCUGAAAACACUGUGGCAGUUGUUUGGUUGAGGACUUAAGAGAUCUUAAGUUUACUUUAAAGUGAUCUUAUGGGUGAAUUACUUAUUUAAUUGUGUGUAUUUACAGAUGGUACACCCAAGUCGUAUAUUGAAAAUAAGAGUUCGAGGAACUAAGAAGGAUUUGAUGCAAGAGACAUCCUCUGAGGAGAUUUGCAUUGUAUUGCCUGGCAUUAUUGCCCGCUUUGAUGGCUCCAAUAUUCAGGUAUUGUUGAAAAACUUCUGACAAAGCAGGAUUUUUUUGAGGUGAUGUUUAGGUAUGUUCUGAGAUUUGUUUUAUUUUUGUCUUCAUAUUUGUAGAGUAUGCUUCAGAAAUGGUUUCAAGAAAAGAAUUCUAAUUUUUGGGACCAAAAGAAUAGAAAGGGUGAUGUAGAAGAUUCUGGUAGUUUGUACCAACGACUACCGUAUCAGAUAUGGAAUGUCAACAAGAAUGGUGUGUGCGUUGAUGCUACUGUCACUGGCGUAAUGCCGCCUCCGUUACUGGAACUUCAGGUGAUUAGUGAUGUCUAUUUGAUUGUUUCAAACUAUGAACUCACUGACACCGGGACCUUUUUGAAGUUUAUUCCGGUUUAUAAAUCUGGCUGAUUUUAUUCUUUGACAGUCAAGUCAACGUUAUUAUUGUGCAGUGACCAUUGGAGAGGAUGCUGUGAUCUCAGCUUACAGGUUGGUAAUUCUUCAGUGAUGUCUUCCAUAUGUUGCUUUCAUGGUGUUCUUUUGUUGAUUAAAGAAUCAGUUUUGUUAACUAGAGUUUUUAUGUUAUGCUUCUUUGAAAGGCUCUCAGAAGAUAGAGGGAGAUCACUUGUUGGAGCGAUUCUAUCAAAAGUUGUGCCUGCAGCUGCUUCAACCAUAGCUUCUUUCUCUAAACUGAUCUGGAGAAGUAAUGAUCAAUCACCAAAGCGAAAGCCAGAAGCCAAGACUCAGUCAUUCGCUCGAGGUAGAUUUCAUGCGUCUUUAAUCCCUUCAAUUUUUGAGAAUCCAUCUAUGGCCCUUAACCUUUGUCAAAAUGUUGGUGCAGCAUCAUCCUUGACAUGUAUAAAGGACUACCCAAGGAAAGGCGAGAAGCUCACGUUAUCCCCGAGUGGGACAUUAGCUGCGAUAACAGAUUCUCUUGGUCGAAUACUUCUGCUAGACACUCAAGCUCUUGUAGUUGUCCGGCUAUGGAAGGUUUGUUUUAACAUCCUUAAUACUCUACUUCUUCGUUUAAAUUUCCACUCUAUUAUCAUUUUAAAACCAAAGUUUCUUUGCUAGGGUUAUCGUGAUGCAAGCUGUGUGUUCAUGGAGAUGUUAGCCAAAAAGGAUAAAGGAAAAUCUGUAAUUCACACAGAACCAGUAAAAAGUGAUUACUGUCUAUGCUUAGCCAUUCACGCUCCACGCAAAGGCAUCAUCGAGGUAACAACAUUGUCUUCUCUCGAUAACAGUAUCUUUGUUUUGAUUGUAUGCUCAUUUGAUUAUGCAUCCAAUCGAAUCGAAACCAGGUGUGGCAGAUGAGAACGGGGCCGCGUCUUCUAACGAUUCAAUGUGCAAACGGUAGCAAAUUGUUGCAGCCAGCGUACAGGUUUGGAUCAAAUUCUUCAUCGUCUCCUUACAUACCUCUUGAAGUCUUCUUACUCAAUGGAGAUUCCGGCCAAGUCUCUAUGCUCAACCGAUCUCUCUCUUAAAAAUAUCUCUAAACUAACUUAUCUUAUAUUUUCAACAACGGCCUUCAUUUUUUUCUCAAACCUUUUGUCCAUAGCUAAGCCAAGUCUCUAAUUAGAUUAUAAGAACAAAUGAUGUUUUCUAAACAAAAACAAGAACUUUGCAAUGAUUCUUAAAGUGUAGUAGUCAGUGUUUAUGUUUUUCUUUUGAUAGUUGGAUUUGAUCAUAUGAUUGUAACUAGAUACUGUCUGUUACUUUGCUUCAAAGAUUCAACUAAUAGUUUUUCUUUAUAUGCUACGUUUUGCGAUUGAUUUACUAGAAAGUAACAAUAUAUAUAUAUAUAUAUAAUACAUUUUAAAUAAAUUUCUAUGUUUAGAAAGAAGUAACUCAAUAAGUACUGUGCAUUGCAAAACUAGCAUCAAUGAUCGAAAUGCUUACGAGUACUUUGUUAAGACUAUAAAAGCAAGGAGGGUAAUUUGGUCAUUGUAAUAUUAAAUACAAUUUUUUUGGAUGCGGCUGGUCCUUUUAAUAUUACAAGGAAUGUUAAAUCGAUGGAUCCCAAGAAAGAAACAAAUCCAAAUGUUAAUCAUUGAUUAUAAAUGUAAGAUUUUUGUUAUUCUUGGAAGCAUCUUUUAGUAAAUUAAACAAAAGAUUAGUUUAAUUGAAAUAGCAUUCUUUAAAAUCAGUUUGAUUACCAGACAGGCAGAGACCAAAAGCUAAACGUCAUGACUUCCUCUCUUCCUCCACCAAUCAUCUUCUUCACCGUCUUCUUCUUCGUCGUCCACUCUCUAUCCGCCGUCUCCGAUCUCCACGAAACCAGAUCACGUUUCAAACCUCCUCAGUUCUCUCCUCUCUUCUUCUCUUCUCCUCUCCAAAACGUCACAAAAUCCCCUACUCGCUACUUCGAGGUUCAAAAACCUCCCGUCCCAAAUCUGCCGACAGCUCAACCACCGUGUUCGUAUCGAAUUCUCCACCAUGACUUUGGCUACACCUAUGCUAAACCACCGGUUCUCUCCAAUUACACUCUUCCCUCUCACUGCUCCUCUCGAGAAUUCUCCAAAAUCGUCCUCGAAUUCAAAUCCACUAGCCAAGGACGACAAUUCGAUCGGAUAUUCGGUGUUUGGCUUGACGGUGUUAUGAUUCUCCGGAGCUGCACCGCCGAGCCUAGACCAAACGGAAUUGUUUGGUCUGUCGAGAAAGAUGUGACUAAGUAUCACUCUUUACUCGUCAAGAACGAGACUCAGCUUCUCUCUGUUUAUCUUGGUAAUAUUAUUGAUAAAACCUAUACUGGUGUUUACCAUGUUGAUGUGAUCUUCCAUUUCUAUCAACUCGAAAGUAAUCUUGAAGAUCCUUCUGGUUAUAGCUCUCCUCGAGCUGAUAUGAUCCUGCCGAUUUCGAGAAAUCUUCCGUUGAACGAUGGAUUGUGGUUUGAAAUUGUGAAUUCGAAUGAUUCUAAGUAUAAGGAAUUUGAAAUUCCUAGGAAUGUGUAUAGAGCUGUUCUUGAGGUUUAUGUUUCUUUCCAUGAGAAUGAUGAGUUUUGGUAUGGAAAUCUUCCUAAUGAUUUCGUUACUGCUAAUAAUCUCAGUGUUGCUGGUAACGGACCUUUUAGAGAAGUUGUGGUUAGUCUUGACGGUGAUAUUGCUGGUGCGGUUUGGCCUUUCCCUGUUGUCUUCACCGGUGGGAUCAAUCCUUUGCUCUGGAGACCAAUCACUGCUAUUGGCUCUUUUGAUUUGCCGAGUUAUGAUAUCGAGAUCACACCGUUCUUGGGAAGUUUGUUGGAUGGGAAGAGUCAUAAGGUGGGGUUUAGUGUGACAAAUGCGUUGAAUGUUUGGUAUAUCGAUGCGAAUUUGCAUCUUUGGUUGGAUCAAGAGAAGGAGAUAGUUGAAGGGAAGGUGUUGGAGUUCAGUAGAAGCUCUCUGGAGAUUAGCUCUGUCUCGGAUUUUAAAGGCUUGAAUGGAAACUUCACGACGAAAGCAAAGAGGUCGAUAACUUCGAUAGGGUUGGUCAAAUCCUCUCAUGGGGACAUCAUAACUAAUGCCAAUCAAGAAUUUAGCUACGAAAACAAUAUGGUUUUAGGUAAAGAUGGGAACUUGCAGAUCAUAGAUCAGUUGAUCCAAGCCGAUGAUCGUAUUCACGCCAAGAGAGCCUCGAGAGAGAUCUACUGCGCGAAAUCCAUCAAAAGCUUUCCCUUUUACCUCGACUCUGACUCAUUGGAGCAACAGAAUAACACUUCUCUGGAGAUUGCGAAUGUCAAGAUGGCAUUCAACGAGGAGAGAUCUGAGAGCGACAACGGGUUGAUGAGAACAUUCAAGAGCAAGCUUGAAAACAAGCAAGAAGGGCAAGGAGUAAUGGUAGUGAAGAAUAACUUAGUGGUCAAUGGAUAUGGAAGCACACAACAAGUGUAUAACUAUGUUGGAAGUGACCAAUGUUACUUCAGAAACAUCAGUAGCUCCAACUACACUAUUCUAUAUGACGAGCUUGAAACUGUUUGCAAGAAGAAAACACUGAAGCUGCCGCCAAGGCUCGAGCAUCUACCAAGACAACAACCCUUACUGGCUUGAUAUAUGACCAGACUCAGUUGCAAAAGAAACAUCACAAAUAAAAAUAAACAGUUUCUUCUGUUUUUUCCAUUUUUCAGACACUAUCUUCCUGGUCAACAAGGCCACAGUGAACCGGUAUCUAAAUUGUGUAAACUGUAAUAGAACCGGUUAUUAUCAGUGGUAAAUGAUUUAUCAAUCGAUAGAUUUUGAAUUCAUCUCACAGUGAACCGGUUUCUGAGUUAUGUUAAUUCUGCGCAAAACAUCAAGAAACAAAGAAAUCCCGGAAGGUGGGUCCUACUAUUAUCCAGAUAUAUCAUACGUGGCUACAUUACAGCCGUCGAAGUGAUUGACCUAAUAAGGUCAAACCUUGAAUCGCAUCUCUCUCGUCUUCUUCCCUCGGUGAUAAGGAGAUACCAGACCAGACCGGACCAAGAAGCGGGCAAAAUCAGAUAGCACUGGUCUUUAAACUCUUAGGUUCUUCUCUGAUUGAAAAUGAGCUUAUCAUCGCCAACCAGGUCCGAUAAAGUUUCAAUUUUUGUUCAUUCGAUUUCUAUUGUGCCAAUUUAGUACUUUGCUUUUGCUAAAUUCUGUUGUACACAGUGCUUGUAGCUCAUCGAGAUGUUACUCCUCGGGAUUGUCAUUGCCGAUAGGGUUUCGAUCGAAUCCCAUCAAUGUGGGAUUGGUUUGUUACCCAAAAAGACACAAUAUUGCUGCUCGGAAGUUCGUAGUGGCUUGCUCCUCCUCCUCUUCCGGUACGUAUCUCCUGCAAAAAAAGUUGAUUUAUGCUUUUCGAUUUUGAAAUGAUUUUAGUCGGUUCGGGCUACUAGCUACUCCUUAGAAUGUCAAAUUUGAGUUGCGAUUGAGUUUAGAUGUUGAACAUGAAUGUUGCCCUUGAAAUGGUGUUUCGUUCUUUUUUGGGCAUGUCGAAUAGAAAUGAAAUUUCCAGUUUUAGGCCACAUAUCUUGAAGUUUAGCUAAUAGUUGAUCAUAAAGGAUCAAUGAAUCUGUAGCCUUAUCCUUUUGUAAGUCUAAAGAAGCUUUCUCAUAUACACCAUUUUGUUCAAAAUGUUAAAUCAGAUCCACUAUUGGUUAAGGCUGCGAAAGGGCAAUCCGUGAGUCGUCCUCCAGCUUGGAUGAUGAGGCAAGCAGGAAGGUAUAUGGCUGUUUACCAAAAGCUCGCCAAGAAACACCCGUCCUUCAGAGAGAGGUCAGAGAACACUGAUCUAAUAGUGGAAAUCUCUUUGCAGCCUUGGCAAGCGUUCAGACCAGACGGUGUCAUCAUUUUCUCUGAUAUCCUCACGCCUUUACCUGCAUUCGGUGUCCCUUUUGACAUUGAAGAGGUGAAAGGCCCUGUGAUCCAAUCUCCCAUCCGAACUGAAGAAGAUUUAAAGAGAUUGCAUGCCAUUGAUUUCGAGAAACUACAGUUUGUUGGAGAUUCUCUCAAGAUUUUGAGACGAGAGGUGGUUUUACUCUUCUUCUCAGCUUUCCCCUAGACUUAACCAAAUGCCUUCCAGUUUGUGAAUCUGGAUUCUUGUUUUGAAAGGUUGGGGAACAUGCUGCGGUAUUGGGUUUCGUUGGAGCUCCUUGGACAAUUGCAACAUAUAUUGUUGAAGGGGGAACAACUCGGACAUAUACAGUCAUAAAGAAUAUGUGCCACACUGCACCAAAUGUAUUGAGAGCUCUAUUAUCUCAUUUAACCAAGGCCAUUACCGAGUAUGUUGUUUACCAAGUUGAGCAUGGAGCUCACUGCAUACAAAUAUUCGAUUCAUGGGGUGGCCAACUGACUCCUGAGAUGUGGGAGCGCUGGUCCAAGCCCUACAUCGAAGAGGUACCAUAUUGUGGUUUCAACUUGAGGACUUGAAAUAUUAUCUUUUGGCGCUUAACGGGUUUUUUAUUUGUCAUUUGGGCUCGCCAGAUCAUUCAUGCUGUAAAGAAAAGAUGUCCAGAUACGCCGAUAGUUUUCUACAUCAAUGGAAAUGGUGGCCUUCUUGAGCGAAUGAAAGGAACUGGAGCUGAUGUUAUUGGACUUGACUGGACUGUAGAUAUGGCUGAUGGAAGGAGGCGAUUGGGAAGCGAGGUUAGUGUGCAGGGAAAUGUUGAUCCAGCCUACCUAUUCUCUCCGCUUCCUGCUUUAACCGAAGAAAUUGAGAGGUAGGUCGUUACUUUGUUCAGCUGAACAUAGAGUAAUGCUUAUAACUCAAUUCAAGAAACUGAAAGAAAUGUAUGUUUUGUGUCAGAGUUGUGAAGUGUGCUGGACCAAAAGGGCAUAUUCUCAAUCUAGGACACGGUGUCUUGGUAGGGACACCAGAGGAAGCCGUGGCUCAUUUCUUUGAAACCGCUAGAAACAUGGAUUACCAAACACUUUUCCAAAAUCAUGUUCCUGCCAAAAAAGCUGAAUCUGAAUUGGUUGCCUGAGAAAUGUUGAGCAGACAAGUAAGACAAGUCCCUACGCUGAAGAAAUAUGCCUUUUAGGUUUUGUGAAUCAAAUGUUUGAAUCUCUUAAUAUUGGUGCAGGAAUCAGAGAAAAGUUCCAUGUCUGACCCAUAAUCGAUGCGAGAUUUGGUUACUUGCUAUGAGAUACAUUCGAAGCUGUCCAGUUUUUGUUUGGCUUGCUUGAGGAUUUCCAAUCUUCUGGACCAAGCUGUGCUUAACUCUUAACAAUGUAUUGAGUUGCUCAUAGGCUUCAAAUGUUGCUGCUUCUUUUGGAGAUAUGAUUCUGAUUAAAAUUUUAACUAAACAUUAAUCUGGUUAAUCUCAAACCUUUGCUCUGUUUCUUAUCCCAUUAUUUUUCAUAUGGUUCGUUCUAGAUCUCUGUAUCUGAUGUGUCUUCUCUCCUGAAACCAAGUAGCUUGUAUUAUUGUAUCAUGGACUGCAAAAGAUAACGCAGAAGAGAGAAGUCUCUGAUCUCAGCCUGAAUCAGAUUUGUGUUCCCUCUGAUUCGGUUUAAUUCAAUUUUCCGGUUCGGACUUCUGGAUUGUAAACCGAAUUGAAUUACAAACUCAGAACGUAUUACUGCGGUAACCAGUAACUUAAUUGGCCUACUUUACUUCUUAAGCUAAAUCUAGUUAAAAGAUAAACUAAAACUCUGUUGCAGAGACAGAGAGUGAACAAAUGAAACGAAAAGAGCAUAGAUUUGAAAAAAGAAGAAGAUAAUAUAAUCUUUAUGAUCUAAAGUCAAAUGUGAUCGCAACAUAUAAAGUUUAACUUGUAAUAUAUAGUCACACCAUGACCAUGGCCUAAUCGUAUUUGCUUUCAUGAAUCAUCCCACCACAUGCAAGUUUUAUCUGAUUAAAAAUUUUAAACAGAGAAAUAUAAAUUAAACACUAUUGUCGUCACCCUCCCCGAAUGUUUCUGAUAAAUAAUGUUAACUAUCAUCUAAUACGUCAACCGAAUUAUAACCGACACUGACCCCACACCUAACCACUAAUGCACAAGUUUAUAUUAGUGUAGGUAUCAUCCACAAUAUAUUUAUCCAAUAAUUGAACAUUGUUAAUUUGUUUACUUCAUAAAGCGAUCUAUAAUCAAUUCAGCAUUAUUGCUAAAAUUCAAAUUAAGAAGACGGCAUGAUUUGUUAAACCUAUAAAGAAAUACAAAAGGGUCAAUGAUAAAAAUGUUUAAACGAAUCAGUCUACCCAAGAGCCAUUUUUCUAAUACUAGUUUUAAAUUCAUAAGCGUAUAGAGUUUAGUGAUUACAGAACACUUUAUUACAGGCCAAAAUCUAAUAUUUCGAUAUUUUGAAACGACAUUUUUGGUCCUAAAAAUUUGCAACGUAUUUAAAUGUAUUUUUAAAUGUGAUACUGCGAAGAAAAUGAAUAAAAAAUUGAAUCGAAUAUUCGAACAGACGGACAAGAACCCACGAAGCGAUACAGAUCACAAACUCUUUUUCAACAAGAGAUCACAAACUUGGUUGACUUGAGUACAUAUUAUAAUGACGUACUCAGUGAUUCGAAUAAUCCAUUAAUAGUCGUAAGAAUAGAAACCUUAAUGUGCUCAUUGUUCAUUUCGUAUGCCACAUUGACGAAGUCGAAGAUCAUUGAUAUAAAUUUCAAUUAUAUAAAUGUACCGUUUUACUUUUUAAAAUAACAAAACAAAAAGUUUACAUAACAUGUUAUAAUAUAGUGUCAAUAGAUAAAAUAACAUGUUAUUCGGCCACCACAUGCGAAAAUACUAAUCUUAUACUUUACCAUUGCAUCAUUUUUGUAAAUAAAUUUCUAAAAUUUGGCUAUUUAGUGCAUAUAUCCUUUAAAACUUGUUGUUAAAGCAAGGACGACGAAAAAAUGAUUGAACCUAUAGCAAAGCAAAAAAAAAAAAAAAGAGUACAAUUUAUUUAGUAUUGAUUACCAUUUUUUUUUUCUUCAACAUAUUCUCUUAGAGUUGAGAGAACAUAAAUUAUAUAUAUAAAUGCUUUAUUGGGUAGCAGUAGAUAGAAAAACCUAGUUAUUUUUGUACAUAGCAAAUCAAGUACUUAAACUAAAUUUUUAAUUUUUUGAAAGUCAACUUGAUCAUAUGUGAAAGUUAGAGUCAGAGAUUUGUGCAUCUUCGUGCAUAGACAAAAUGCAUGCACGAGCUCACACGAUCCUGUUAUUUUUUUCUUUAUUAGGUAAAAAACAAUUGAUGUAUUUUUCCUGCUGUCAUUCUUUUAUAUUAUCAAAGUUAAGAUUCAUACAAAACCUUAUUAGGUAAUUCCUUGAUUUUCUUUAAUAAUUAAGAAACCAAGAUCCAUUAGAUCUUUGACCACUAAAACUCAAAUUUGUAAUAUCCUUAAUCAUUUCACAUUCGUACUUACUUUGUAAUUUAUGAAUUCUAACGCAACCAAUACAAUUAUAUAUACAAACUACAGUACAAAGUAAGUAACAAAUUUUAGUAAUACCCAAUGAAAUGGUAUGAAGUUAAUGAAAAGAUUCGUUUUCUUAGAAUAUUCUUCUGCUCUUGAGUCUUGACAGUGUUUAAUUAUUUAAUUUUCUUACUUGAAAAAUACAAUUGACCAACAACUAUAUUUCUUACUACAUGUAGAUAACUUCCAAAAUAAAUAAAAAUACUAUGAAAAAAUAAAAUAAAAUAUACUGACUUUAAAAGCGCGCAUCUCUCAUGCCAACACAGUGUAUCGCACUUGCUCGUCUAUAAAUACUCCACUCUGCUUUUCACAUUCGCAUUCAUCUCUGAAUCUGAUUCCACAUCUAAAACCCUUCUCUCUAAACAUCGAUUUUUGGUUUCUUCUCGCACAAUCCGCAGAGAUUUCUUCUUUUCAGGUUUGUCUCAAUCAAUUCAAUUGUAACUUUUUUCAGUUUUUUAUUUUUCGUGAUUUUCGGUCAGUCUACCAAAUCCCCUGUUUUUUCGGCGUAGUUUGAGUCAGUUAUCAACAGAUUUUGCUUCUUCUUUUUUGUUUGUCGAUUUAAUUGUUUUCGUUAAAAAAAAUAUCUCCUUUGUUGAUCUGAUGAUUACAGAACAAAGUUAGAGGCUGGUGAAGAAGAAGAUUUGAUUGAUCGGCGAUAAUGGCGGGUCGGAACAUAGAGAAGAUGGCAUCAAUUGAUGCUCAGCUUCGUCAACUGGUUCCUGCUAAAGUCAGUGAAGACGAUAAGCUUGUUGAGUACGAUGCUCUUCUCCUCGAUCGCUUUCUCGACAUUCUCCAGGAUUUACACGGCGAGGAUCUCCGUGAAACCGUACAAAAUCCUUCUUCUUUUUCUAUUAUCUCAUUUAGCUUCUUGGAUUGAAUUUUUUGAUACCCAUUUGCUAGAGAUCCUAAAAAUCUCAUCUUUUUGUUUCCAUUAGUGGUUUUAAGUUUACCCGUUAAUGGUGGAAUUGAGCAGAGAAUAUUUAACCUUUGAAUCAUAUUCAGUUGACGUGUUAGUUCUGUAUAAAGGAUGGAACUUUUUUGUUUAGAUUUAUAGGCAAAUUGAUAAAAUGAUCUUUUUCACAGGUUCAAGAGCUAUACGAGCUUUCUGCUGAGUAUGAAGGGAAGCGUGAGCCUAAGAAGCUUGAGGAGCUAGGGAGUGUCCUAACGAGUUUGGAUCCUGGUGACUCCAUUGUUAUCUCCAAGGCUUUCUCUCACAUGCUUAACUUAGCCAAUUUGGCUGAGGAGGUGCAGAUUGCUCACCGCCGCAGGAUCAAGAAGUUGAAGAAGGGUGAUUUCGUUGAUGAGAGUUCUGCAACUACUGAAUCCGAUAUCGAAGAGACUUUUAAGAGACUCGUUUCGGAUCUUGGUAAGUCUCCUGAAGAGAUCUUUGAUGCCUUGAAGAAUCAGACUGUGGAUUUGGUUUUGACUGCUCAUCCUACUCAGUCUGUGCGUAGAUCAUUGCUUCAGAAGCAUGGGAGGUUAGUUUUUGGCUUUAGUUCUUUUCUGGAGAAAACUCUUUUUGCUUGUGUAUUGACCUGUGACCUUAAAUGUUCUCUCAGGAUAAGGGACUGUCUUGCUCAACUGUAUGCAAAGGACAUUACUCCUGAUGACAAGCAGGAGCUCGAUGAGUCUCUGCAAAGAGAGGUAAGAAGUCAACCUCACUGGACUGUAACAUGUUGAUUUGAUAUAAUCCUCAGAGAUAAUGGAAAGAUUGGCCUUUCAACUCUCCUGUUUUGUUUAGAUUCAGGCUGCAUUCCGAACAGAUGAGAUUAGAAGAACACCUCCAACCCCGCAAGAUGAAAUGAGAGCUGGAAUGAGUUAUUUCCACGAGACAAUCUGGAAAGGUGUCCCCAAGUUCUUGCGCCGUGUGGACACAGCUCUGAAAAACAUCGGGAUUGAUGAACGUGUUCCUUACAAUGCCCCAUUGAUUCAAUUCUCUUCAUGGAUGGGCGGUGAUCGUGAUGGUACAUGCGUUUUUUUUUUGGACUACUGACAAACAAAACUCUCUCUUGUUCACCCUCUAAUCGACAUACCUGAAUUUCAGGUAAUCCGAGGGUCACACCUGAGGUCACUAGAGAUGUGUGCUUGCUGGCUAGAAUGAUGGCUGCCAAUCUCUACUAUAACCAAAUCGAGAAUCUGAUGUUUGAGGUUUUUAUCUCUUUUGACAUGUACUCAUUUUCGGGUUUUCCGUCUUUAAGAUUCUCUUGAUUCAUUCAUGUUCUUCUUGGCAGUUGUCUAUGUGGCGUUGCACUGAUGAGUUCCGUGUCCGGGCGGAUGAACUCCACAGGAACUCAAGGAAAGAUGCUGCAAAACAUUACAUAGGUUAGAAGCAGAAAACCUUCUUUUGAUAUUUUCCACUUGCAAGAUUGAAAAAAAAAUUGCUUUUGCUUUUGCAAUGAUAUUUUCUACAUAAGUAUACAAUGGAAUUGCUUAUGCAUUCUAAAGUUUUUUUCUUAAAAAAACCAAUGCAGAAUUUUGGAAGACAAUUCCUCCAACUGAGCCAUACCGUGUGAUUCUUGGUGAUGUGAGGGAUAAGCUGUAUCACACACGUGAGCGCUCUCGUCAAUUGCUGAGUAACGGAAUCUCGGACAUCCCCGAAGAAGCAACUUUCACUAAUGUGGAACAGGUGAGCAACCUCUAUACUCUGAAUUUGUUUCUUUACUAAAAUGUUGCCUCAUUUUAACAACCUGUUAGUUCUUGCCAUUAGAAUUUCUUUUACUUCCCAGCCUUAAACUUGUUUCCCUCAUAAUAUUCACGGAAUUCAAUUGUGUUUACUGUUCUUUGUUCUAUUUACACAGUUCUUGGAGCCUCUUGAGCUCUGUUACCGAUCACUAUGUUCAUGUGGUGACCGCCCGAUAGCUGAUGGAAGCCUUCUUGAUUUCUUGAGGCAAGUCUCUACCUUUGGACUCUCCCUUGUGAGACUUGACAUCAGGCAAGAGUCUGAACGCCACACAGAUGUCUUGGAUGCUAUCACCAAGCACUUGGACAUCGGUUCCUCCUAUAGAGACUGGUCUGAAGAAGGUCGACAGGAAUGGCUUCUAGCUGAACUAAGCGGCAAGCGUCCACUUUUCGGACCUGAUCUUCCCAAAACCGAAGAAAUUUCUGAUGUCCUGGACACAUUCAAAGUUAUAUCUGAGCUGCCUUCAGAUUGUUUUGGAGCUUACAUUAUCUCUAUGGCAACUUCACCUAGUGAUGUGCUUGCGGUUGAGCUUUUACAGCGUGAAUGCCAUGUGAAAAAUCCACUAAGAGUUGUUCCACUCUUUGAGAAGCUAGCUGAUCUUGAAGCAGCUCCUGCCGCUGUUGCAAGACUCUUUUCUAUAGACUGGUACAAAAACCGUAUUAACGGUAAACAAGAGGUUAUGAUCGGUUACUCAGAUUCAGGGAAAGAUGCUGGGCGUCUUUCAGCUGCUUGGGAGCUUUACAAAGCUCAAGAAGAGCUUGUGAAGGUUGCUAAGGAAUAUGGAGUGAAGCUAACUAUGUUCCAUGGCCGUGGUGGCACAGUCGGAAGAGGAGGUGGUCCCACUCAUCUUGCUAUAUUGUCUCAGCCACCUGAUACAGUUAAUGGCUCUCUUCGAGUCACGGUUCAGGGUGAAGUCAUUGAGCAAUCAUUUGGAGAGGCACACUUAUGCUUUAGAACACUUCAGCGUUUCACAGCAGCUACUCUAGAGCACGGAAUGAACCCUCCGAUUUCACCAAAACCCGAGUGGCGUGCUUUGCUUGAUGAAAUGGCGGUUGUUGCAACUGAGGAAUACCGAUCUGUCGUUUUCCAAGAACCUCGAUUUGUCGAGUAUUUCCGCCUCGUAAGUAUUCAUUCUUAUCAAUCCAAAAUUCACCAAAUUUUUUGUGUGUUUUGAGUAACUCAACCCGUUGGUUUGGUUUGCAGGCUACUCCGGAGCUGGAGUAUGGACGUAUGAAUAUCGGAAGUAGACCUUCAAAGCGAAAACCGAGCGGUGGGAUCGAAUCUCUCCGUGCAAUCCCAUGGAUCUUUGCUUGGACACAAACAAGAUUCCAUCUUCCUGUAUGGCUAGGUUUCGGAGCAGCAUUUAGGUAUGCGAUCAAGAAGGAUGUGAGAAACCUCCACAUGCUGCAAGAUAUGUAUAAACAAUGGCCCUUUUUCCGAGUCACCAUCGAUCUAAUUGAAAUGGUGUUCGCCAAGGGAGACCCCGGGAUCGCUGCUUUGUACGACAAACUUCUUGUCUCAGAAGAUUUAUGGGCUUUUGGAGAGAAACUCAGAGCCAACUUUGAUGAAACCAAGAACCUCGUCCUCCAGGUAUAUAUAACACACAAAAAAACAGAGUCCUCUGUUUCAUAUUCCUUGGUUUUUUUUCUUGCAAUAACACUAAACUCGCGUUGUUGCAGACUGCUGGACACAAAGACCUUCUUGAAGGAGAUCCUUACUUGAAACAGAGACUAAGGCUACGUGACUCUUACAUUACGACCCUCAACGUUUGCCAAGCCUACACAUUGAAGAGGAUCCGUGAUACAAACUACAAUGUGACUCUGCGACCACACAUUUCGAAAGAGAUCAUGCAAUCAAGCAAAUCAGCACAAGAACUCGUCAAGCUUAACCCCACGAGUGAAUACGCGCCUGGACUUGAGGACACACUUAUCUUAACCAUGAAGGGUAUUGCCGCAGGAUUGCAAAACACCGGUUAAGUGAGUGAGUCACUGAAAGAAAACAAAACUUCGAAUCUCUCUUUUUUUCUACUCCCCUUUUUAAUAAUCUCUUUUUUUUAGUAUCCAAAAUAAGAAAGCUGUUACGGUUGGAUUACAGUUUACUUUAUGUAUCCACCGUUCAAAUUCUUAAUCUUCCAUUGUAUCAAAACGAUCACUGUUCUGUUUUUGGAAGUGGAAACAAAAACAGAGACAAUGAAUCUUAAUGUUAUCUUCUUUGUCUUUUUCUUUCUGCUCUCUUUCUCAGAAUCAUGUACAUUUGUUAAUACAUUUAAUAUUGCACGUCGUCGAAAGUCUGAAUGUGGUCCCUGAAACGGCAGGCAUGUUAAUAGAACUAUGCCAAUUAAAGAUGGGAGGUGCGUUGAGGGAACAACACGAUAUUUUUUAUGUUUUGCUGUUUAAGACACACGGCUCACAUUUGGUCUGCAUGUAUUAUAGUGUACAGUUCUCAGUGUAACACUGCUUUAGACUUAAACCACCCGAGUGUUGAUCAAAGAGACAAAGAAUUUUUUAUUGAUGGAAAAAUGUUUUGACAACAUGAAUGAAUGGUUUUCUCUCUGCUUAUUUUAUAUGGUUUCAUCACCUAAAUAGCCAAAAUUUUCUCUCUGUACACAUGACUAGUCUCUCUCUUUCAAUUUCUAAACCUAACAGAGCAAUAAAUGAAUCAAAUCAUAAGUGAUUACUGACAAGUUCUCUCUUUUUGUUUUUUGUGAACAUUUAAGUGUUUUGAGUUUGCUAAAGGCCAUAGUGCCUCACUGUUUUCUCCAGUGCUUCCUUGCUUGGACACACAAUCUCUUUCAUCCGAAUCCCAAGUUUGUAUAUCUUGAAUGUUGGUACAACUCUCACUCUCUCUGCAUUACCCACUUCUGGACAUUUUCCAAUCUCCACCUAUUAAUGAAAGACAUUUCACAAGUAAGUUUACUUGUUCUUUGGUUACAUAAACAGUUGUUUUGAAGUUUUUGUUUUUCUUACCUUAAGGAAAUGCAAAGAUGGGUAACCAACACAUAGUGCGUCCAUGAAAGUAGACAUCUCCUUGCAUUGUGGAUCAGAGGCUCUAAAAAAGUGUACAAUGGAAACUCCUGCCAUUGAAGUAUAUAUACAACAAGUUAAAAAUGACAGUUCUCUGACUAUUUAAGAGCAUAUAAGUUUAAAAUAUCACUUACCAGGACGAGUUAAUGCAGCUUUUAACUCUUCAAGACUAGAAAUUUCCUCAACUUCACUUCCAAAUUCCAUGUUUAGAACUACUUCGCCGCGAGAUUUCUUCAAUGCAACUUGAGCAUGAAAUAAAGAUUCAGCAAUUUCCUUGUCAUAAGGCAGUUCCUUUCUUAAGAUCUCGUAAUCGCUCACUGCUUCAGCCCAUCUUUCCAACUACAAUUUCAUCAAAAAGAAACUUAGAACAAGUGAAAUGCCAAAACUAAGUCAUACCGUAUAUAUUUUACCUUGCUAUAUGAAGCAGCUCUUUGAAGACGAGGCUUUGUGUAACUCGGUAGAAUGAGCAACGCAUGGUUACAAUCUUCUAUUGAGCUCUCCCACAUCCAAACUUUAAAGAAACAAUCUGCUCUAUGACAUAACAGAGUAGCAUUGGAUGGAUCAUACUUAAGGCCUUCCGCAUAAGCUGAUCUCGCUUCAGUGUAUCUUUCUAAUUCAUAAAGAUCGUUACCACGAUCACGCGCCCUAGUAAUUAAUCUAACAUUUUUAUACAAAAUUUCAACUUCAUUGUUUUUUGGAUCAAUCUCUGAAGCUUUCUCUGCAGUUGUAACUGCAUUUUCAAACCUGCAACAAUUCAUCAUAUGCUCUUCACUGUUUUUUACCCAUGACAUAACAAUAAAACAAUAAUCAAUCAACAUGUCAAUAAAUUUUCACCUUCCUAGAGCCAACUCCAUUUGGGAUUUGACAAAAGAUGUGUAAGCUUCAGAGUUCAUAUCGAAAACCCGAGUAUGUGAGAAAGAAGCUGGGAAUGGUUCUACUUUGGGGACACAUUCUAGUACUCUUUGAGCAUCAUCAAGCCGUAGAAGUUUCAGUAGUGCUUCAACUUUACACAUAGCUAGCUACAAAUUUGAGAUAUAUGUAAAAUACUUCAUUUUCCAUAAAGUAGGACUAACUAAUACAAGAACAUUUGUUCUUUACCUGAGGAGAAGAGUCAGCUCCAGAGGCAAUGGCUGCACUUACUUCUGUCAAAACAAUAUUCCAUUCACCGCGUCUUCUUGCAUAUGUGCAUUUGUUCAAGUGUUUAUCUACUUGUUGAAGCAUUUUAACUAGAGUGGGAUCUGCUGGUUCCUCCACUGAAUAAAAAUGUAUCCCUGCAUUAUCCACAUAACCUAAUCUGCUACCAAGUAAAAGAGCCAUAAUGAUUAGAUAUCUUUUCUCUAUCAAGAUUCUAUAAUAAAGAAUAUCCGAUGGUUAAUUACCUAAGAAGCAAUGAGGCUAAACGGUGAUGAGCCCUUGCAAAUUUUGGAUCUAAUUUGAUAGCCAUUUCACAUUCAUUCACAGCUUCACCAAUCUGUCCCAAACUUGAUAAUGCAGCUGCUCUAUUGCUAUGGUAAGUAGCAUUACUCGGUGAAAGCUCAAUUGCUCGAUCAUACAACUUCAAAGCCUCAGUAAAACAACCUUUCUUGAACAUUUCGUUACCAAAUCUCUUUACUUCUUCUGGAUUUGAACCAUAUAUAGCUAUCUUCCACGAUGUAUAUGUGUCAGGACCACCGCUAGAGUUAUUACUGAGAGUUAAAGGCAAAACAGAGGAAGACUCGGACAUCGUUGGCUUCGCCGGAGAUAAGUUGUUUGCUCGCAUUAUACUACCGUAACCGUAUGAUUUAGCACCUGGUCCAAGAACCAUGCUUCUUGGUUUUUCUUGAGUCAUGCCUGUAAUUUGUACCUUCCCCGAUGGGAAAAGGUUCCCGGCGGGAACUAUUUGGACAUGUUGUUUCGACGAAACAGAGCUUUUAUUACCAGAUGGUUUUGUCGUAACCGAAGCAGAGUUUGAUAAUGGGCUCAUAUUACCGGUUUUAGCACCAACUUGACUGCUUGAACGAGAUCGAGCGCUGGCAGGACUACUAGACCCACCAAAUUGAGCGGCGGAGGGAGUAGUACUAGACUUUGAAGAUUUAGCGGCGGAGGAAGGAGUGCUAGAUUUAGACUUAGCGGCGGAGGGAACGGGCUGAUCGGAAUCGGGUUUUCUUGUAACCGGAGCAUGUCCGGCAUGACCUGUAACCGAUCCAGACGAGCUAGAACUGCAACUACUGGUGGAAGUGAGUCCACUCGGCCGAGUCUGAAGCGGUGUAAUUGGUGAUCCAAGAUCGACAUUAAUAGUAUCUGGUUUAUUAUUAUUGUCUUCCAUAUUCAAUGUGUCACAGAGCUUAUCGGCGACACAGUUAGAUUCUAGUAUAGGUUUCUUGAGCUUCGACAUUGUGUAAGAUUUCAAAAAUAAUGAACAUACCUGAUGAUGACAGUCAAUGGUGGAACAAGAUAGAGACGAAACUGUAGGAUCAUAAAUAUUCUGAUCAAUGCAUGGGGAAAGAAAGAGAAGGGAAAGAUGGGAUCUUGCGAUGUCGAUGAUUGAAUCAGAAUAGAAAGAAAAAAAAAAGAGAGAGAAAAAAAAAGUUUCAGAGAAGAAUAGAAGAGAGGUAGGAGACGAAGAAGAUCAGCGAGUGAAACAAAAACAUAAUUUAAUAUGUGAGUUUAUUAAAUUAUUUUAUUUCAUGCCAAAAAAAAAGAAAGUGAUUUAUACUUUUGUGGUUUGUCGCGUUACUACGUAAUGCAAAAUUCAGUAGGAAAAUCUUAUACUAUACGGAUCAAUUUAAAUUCGAUUAUAAGUUGUUAUUGAUUGUCAUCAAAUUUUUGUUUGUUUUUUUUUUGGUAAUGAUUUUCACGAGAUUUUGCCUAGUCAAAUGAAAACUAGUGUCACUAUUCUAAAUUUUGCGAUUUGAGAAUAAAUUUAGGAUUUGGUUUUAGCUAUUUUCAUAAUAUUUAAUUCUAGAAGUCUUGACUAAAUCCUUCUCGUGGCUUGCGCUACGACUAUGUCCACGCAACAACACUCUACUAUACUAUACACAUUUAAUCAUAAAAUCGGCUCUGAUUAUUUUACGCAAAUAAUUGGAAAUAGUAUUUGUUGACAAAAAUAGGCUCACAGCUCACUGCUUCACCUUCACGAGACAGAUUUCAUUUAUGUUAUUAUCUUCUCUUUCUCAAUUUCGAAGGAAUGUCUUAUCAUUAAUUUAGUAUACAACCAAAAAAAAAUUAUAAAAUAAUCUGCUAAUUUAGCUUUCAAUAAUGUCUCCGUACUUUUAAAUUUCUCCACAAUUUCGAAGAAACAUAUGGUUUUGUUCACGAGUUUUUGUUUUUCAUCAUAAUCUACUACUUUGUUUUAUUUGGUUUUACGUACCACUUGAUAAAAUCCUACGUGUGUCACAUAUGUAACGCAGAUAUAUGGCAAUUCACAUAAGCAAGAGCCAAGGCGCAUGCAGAAUCGUUUCACAUACGUAUUGGUCAUGUAGCUAGCUUUAGCGAUGGAUCGGUUAAGUUUUGUUUCUUCUGUAUAUGCCCACACGCUUUAAAUACUUCAUAACACAUACACUAUACUUCUGUUACAGACUUAAAGAUAUAGAUUGUAAAUGUUUUAUUAAAUUAUUCAAAUUGGACUAAUUCUUAAUUUAAUUAUAAAGUUCGCUUUUUACUAUUUUAACGUGAAAUACAGUGGUUGGUGUUGGUCUAAUAAAUUUGAGUUUUUGAUCAUAUAUUGACACUUGGAGGCAAUCUCCGAGUAAAGCAUUCACAAUACUAUACACAUUCUACACAAUACAUUAUGCACACAUAUGUGUGUUCCUAGGAUCUUAUAUAUGUAUAUUUACAGCUGUUAAAUGCGUAAAAAUAAAUGCAAAAUACAUUUUUAAAGAUAAAUAGAAGACCAUGAAAAUAACUUGGUUGGUAGGUUCAUGGACCUACUUCUAAUUAGAUAAUGGAGGUUGUGUUUAAUAUGUCUAGAUUUUGUAGUAAGAGUAGGUAAGUACGCACUUAAUUCUUUAACAGAAAGGUACGCACUUAAUUGGCUAACAUAAUAUUCUACUUGUUUCGUACUCUCCCCGUUUCACACAAUAAAUGUUGUUUUAACGCUUUAUUUUUGUUUUACAUAAAAUGUCGUUUUGUGUUUUAUAUACAGAUUUUUAAAAUAAAAUUUAAUUUUAUCUCUAUUAGUUAGGGAGAGAGCUAUAUAUUCUACUAAUAAAGGGUAGAUUAGAAAUUUAUAUAUUAUUUUUAAUUUGUGAAAAUACUAGAAUGAUAUUUUUGUGAAAGAGAGGAAUUAUAUUGUCUGAUGGUUUAACAUAAUGCAUACUAAUUAAAAUAUUUUACAAAAAAAAAAAUAGAAAUUAGUCCUUUCAUACCAACAAUUUACGUAAACAUCACUAAUUAUUUGAAAACCAUAAAAAUAAAGUUAAAACAUCAUUAAUUAUUAAAAAAAAAAAUUAGUAUAGAUGCUAUAUAACUUGGAAAGUAUAGAUUUACAAGUAAAAAGAAUAUGUGAUGAAAUAUGUCUGUGUAUGUUUGGAAGGAUCGAAUUUUGAGAAUUUAUAAGACGAUUGAUUUUUGAUUUGAGAGUGUUUAGUAGCUAGUCUAGAAUUAGAACAAGAACUUUAACAAAGAAUUACUCUCUUUAUUACUUAGGAAAAUAGCUCAAAACCUAAAAGUUCUAUUUCUCAAAUUCUCACACAACUCAUAUGUUUAUCACAAGCUCAAUAAACAUAUAUAUAGGGUUUUACAAGACUCAUAAACCGCCUUUGAUUAGCAUCUAGAUAACUCCUAGACCUAAUACAACUUUAUCCAUAAACCCUUUCAUAAACCGACUUUAACUUGGGCUUUAAGUCAAGCUUAAUCCAACAAUCUCCUCCUUAAGCUUGAAGCCUCCUUUCUUCACUUCUUGAACUCCAAUAAACUCUCUCAUUUCACUGAAUUUUACUCUUCCGAGAGCUUUAGUCAAUAUGUCUGCUUUCUGUUCUUCUCCCGGAAUGUGCAUGACCUCAAUUUGUCCAAGCUCAACACAUUCUCGAAUAAAAUGAUAUCUCCUAUGAAUGUGUUUGCUUCUACCAUGGAAAACAGGGUUCUUUGUAAGAGCUAUAGCCGAUUGAUUAUCGAUAAAGACAGUGACCUUCUCAAUUUGUGUUCCUGAAAUUUCACUGAGUAAAUCUUGUAACCAAAUGGCCUGUUUCGCAGCCUCUGUUCCUGCCAUGAACUCUGCUUCGCAUGAGGAUAAUGCCACAAUACUCUGUUUUUGUGAGCACCACGAUAUUGGCGAUUCUCCAAGAUAAAAUAUAUGUCCCAUGGUACUUUUUCCAUCAUCUGGAUCCACGUUGUGGCUGCUAUCACUGUAUCCUAUUAGUUUUGGCACGUAAUUGCUCCGUUUAAACACAAGACCUAGAGAUGUAGUUCCUUUCAAAUAUCUCACCUUCACAUGCUUUUAUCCAUUCUUUUAUUUCUUUGGCUUCAUGGAAACUUCUUGGUUCAUCAUUUAGACAUAAAAGUAACACUUCUCCUUCUUCCUCAGCCAUUAACACAUAAUCUUCAAGAUAUUUUGGUUUUAUGAUUUGUCUCUCUGUUCUUCUUAAGACUGGUGGUGAGACAUAGCUAGGAUCCACAUUCUCACUUUCUUCUUCCUCAUUAGACUCAGCUCUAUCCUCUGUUUCAGUAUCACUUUCACUUACCUCAUUAUCAAUCGGAUCAUGAUUUUGCAGUCCAUGUUCUGUUCCUGCUUGCUCUGUUUCAAUGGUUUCUCCAUUCUCUCGGAGACCAUUAUUCCCAUAGGUAUCAAAUGUGAUAUUAAAACUUCCAUCCCCAUCUUUUGUUAUGUUUUUAUGUUCCCAGUUCCAUCCUUUUGUUUCAUCAAACAUGACAUCUCGGCUUACUACUACCUUCUGCACUUGCGGAUCAAACAAGCGAUAUGCUUUUGACCUUGGUUCUAUACCUAAGUGAACAAGCAUCCUAGAUCUGUCAUCAAGUUUUUCAAAUGUGGCUUGUUUAUUUUUGCAUAUGCAAUGCAGCCAAAUACUCUAAUGUGCUCAACUGUUGGCCUUUUUCCUCGAAAACAUUCAUACGGAGUUUUAUCUUUAAGAGUCCGUGUAGAGACUCUAUUCAAUAUGUAGGUAGAAUGUCUGAUGGCCUCUCCCCACAAGUAGUUUGGUAAUUUCAUAUGCUUCAGAAUACUUCUUGCCAUUUCCAUUAGGGUUCUGUUGCGUCUCUCCACAACUCCAUUCUGUUGAGGAGUGUAUGGAGCAGUAAGAUGUCUUUUUAUCCCUGAUUCUUCACAAAAGGAGUUAAACUCAGAUGAUGUAAACUCUCCUCCUCUAUCCGUUCUAAAAGUUUGUAUUCUUGAUCCUGAUUCCUUUUCAACUAAAGCUUUGAAAUUCUAAAACCUUUUGAAUGCAUCUCCUUUUUCUUUCAGUAGUAUGGUCCACAUAUAGCGGGAGAAAUCGUCAAUAAGCACAAAGAUGUACCUGUUUCCAGCACUUGUGCUUGGUGAUAUUGGUCCACAAAGAUCACCAUGGAUCAGCUCAAGUUUCUUGGUAGCUCUAUAGGUUGUUUCUUGUGGGAAGCUUUGUCUGGUUUGUUUGCCAAGUAAACAAGAGCUGCAAACUUCCUUUUCAACCCUAAUAACAGGAGCACCUAAGAUAAGCUUCUUGUCAACCAUGUUCUUUAAACUUGCAAAGUUUAUGUGUCCCAUUCUUGCAUGCAGUCUGCUUGAAUCACUUACUGUUGUCAAAUACAAGUUUGCUUCUUUUCUUAAUCCCAUAUGGACCUUGUAUAGUCUGUUCUUGGAUCUUUCUGCCUUGACUAGUAACUUUCCAUCAGAAUCAAGCAUUGUUAGAUACUCUCCUUUAAGUCUUAUAUCACAGCCAGAUUCAGUAGCUUGUCCUAGGCUUAUGAUGUUGCUUUUUAAAUCAGGUAUAAAGUAAACAUCAGUCAUUAUUCUUGAGUUCCCAUUUGUAUCUGUAAAUGCUAUUGUUCCUUUUCCUUUGAUGUUAAUACGGGAAUCAUCUCCAAACCGAACCUUUCCUGUUAUGGUUUCAUCAAGUUUAUCAAAGUAUCUUUUGUCUCCAGUCAUAUGGUUGCUAGCACCAUUAUCAAGAUACCAACAUUCUUCUCCAUUGGUAUUUGUUUCAAAGUUACUAGGCACACAGUUUUUCUCAUUUAAGUAGACUACUUCAUUCAUCAUAAGCUCAUCUGCAUUCUGUGUGUCUUUUGUUUCUGUUUCUUGUGCUUCUUGUAAUUUUAACAACCUAUCCGGACAUUGUGAUGCAAAGUGCCCAUUCUUGUCACAACGGAAACAAGUUAUAUGUGAAAGAUCUCUUCCACCAGAUCGGCCUCGACCUCUUCCUCUAUAGAAACCUCUGCCACCGCGUCCUCUGUUUCUAUAAUCGCCUUGAUAACUUGUUUCUGUGCUUGUGUACAUCAGUUUACUUUGAUCUUCUUCAAUUUCUUCUUCAUCAUUCACACGGUCUUCAUAGGUUUUAAUCCGUCCAACUAUAUCCUCGAAGCUUAUGGUUUUGAGGUCUAAAAUCUGUUCAAGAGAUGCUACUAUAUGGAUAUAUUUUUUUCGUGGUAAGCUCUUAAGAAACUUUUUCACAAGUUUGGUUGGUUCAAUGAUCUCUCCUAGUGAAGCUGCUUUUGAAGCUAUUUCAGAUAUUUUUUCAGAGAAUCCAUCUACAGUUUCUGAGUCUUUCAUCUUGAGCCGAUCGAAUUCUGCCAUCAAGGUUUGUAAUCUUGCUUCUUUUACUCUUUCUGCUCCAACAUGCUUUGCUUUAAUUGCUUCCCAUACUUUCUUUGCAUUAUCUAACUCUCCAAUUUGUAGUACAAGGGCCUCGGGUAUUGACUGGAAGAGUAAGGCCAUGGCUAUAUCGUUCUUAUCAUUAUUAACAACAUUAGUCUCAACAACUUCCCAUACCUUGUGUACACGGAGGGCGAUCCUCAUCUUCAUAGCCCAUACGGUGUAGUUUGUGGAGGUUAGCAUCGGGCACUUUAUGGUAGAAGGUAUGUGAUCCUUCCCUGUGAUGUUAUCCACGGCGAGAGCAUCAUCAUCAGCCAUGGCUUGGCUAUACCUAAUGAUCUUCACGUCUUCUUAAGGAUCGAGUAAUCCUUAUAGCUCUGAUACCAAAUCUAGAAUUAGAACAAGAACUUUAACAAAGAAUUACUCUCUUUAUUACUUAGGAAAAUAGCUCAAAACCUAAAAGUUCUAUCUCUCAAAUUCUCACACAACUCAUAUGUUUAUCACAAGCUCAAUACACAUAUAUAUAGGGUUUUACAAGACUCAUAAACCGACUUUUAUUAGCAUCUAGAUAACUCCUAGACCUAAUACAACUUUAUUCAUAAACCCUUUCAUAAACCGACUUUAACUUGGGCUUUAAGUCAAGCUUAAUCCAACAGCUAGAAUAAGAUUAGAUUUGCAAGAUAUAAGUAAAUAAUUUGUAGUGAACUAUUCAACCACUAAUAGAUAAAAUGAUAUUAUGCUUCUCAAUUGAUUAGAAAUUAGGCAUUUAGAGACAUAGUUUUCGUGCGUUAUUUACUUAUUCUGCAGAAGAUGUUCACAAAAGGUUCCAUAAAGCCGGUUCUAUAUAAAAUUCGGAAGGAUUAACCAUUCCUCAAUGCUCAAAUUAAAUAACUACUUAACAUUUAAAAGUUACUUUUGGUAUUCAAGCAUACUUUGGUAUUUUAAAAAUAUAAAUAUAAUGGUGCUUAUGCAUGCUAACGAUGCAUUCACCCAUAACUAAUUUGGUGUGUCUAUCUGAUGGUUUUUUAUGCGUUUCUAAAGAUGACGUAAGAGUAAAACUAAUCAGAUCAUUGGGCAGCAGUGUAAGAUGGGUUCUGAUUUUGUUAUUAUUUUUAUAUGAUUGUGGGGUUUGACAGCUUUUAACAUGCUUACACAAAGAUAAUUAAUAGACCCCAUUUUUGGCUACUUCUUCUAUUUUAGUUUUUUUUUAUUUCUCGCAGACCCAAAGAAAGUUAUUAUUUUCAAUCUUAAUGUGAUAAAAAAAUUUUUUUUAAAAAAACACUACAUAUACAAGUAACAUCCUAACUUUUUGUUUUCUUUUAGUAACAAAUAUGCAUAUACAAAUUAAAUGCCAGCUAUACUAUUGUCAAAUGUAAUACUUAUUUAGUUCUCUGGACUCUGGUUGUCAAAAAAAACUAUUUUCUUUCGAAUUUCGAUCUCCCAUUUCCCCUUUUUCCGUGUGUAAGCCUUUACUAGUCACAUAAAGAUAGUAUAUUUAUGUAUAAAUUCUCAAACUAUAUAAGUACAAAACCAUACAAAAUUUAAAUUACGCAAUAAAAAAGAUUUGAUAGUUUCACACUAUAACAACUAGGGUUAUAAUUUGGAUCCAAGCCUGAAACUUUUCUGAUUUGAUGAUAUGGGCACAUCGGGCAUUUGGUUCUUUCGUGGGCUCAAUGAUGAGUUCGUUGAAGUUCCUGAGUGCAUGGUGUGAUUAAAGUUGCUUCAUUUCCUGUCCUCUGUGUUACUUACUUGGAUAAGCUCUUCCCUGUUCUUGAAUCCGGGUGGCCCCGAAAUGUCUGCAUAUUCGCCUCAACAGACAACAGUGGUCUUAUUUUUUUAAACUAUACUGGCUUAGCUAUUGUGGGUUACGCAGCUGUUGUUCUCGGUCUGGUGUCUCUCUCGCCUUUCCUUGUUAUGUCGGCUAUGGCAAUCCCUAAGAUCAAACCUCACCGUUGGGUAACUUAGGAAACAAGAAAAAAUAUUGGAAUCUCUACUUCAACACACUCUUUUGGAACUUGAAUUUCUGGGACAAUGUCAGUACUCUUGCAGGGGAAGUGGACAAGCCUCAAAAGACAUUCCCGUUGGCGCUUCUUAUCGCUGUGGUAGUGCUUAUCAGCUGGAGGGGAUGGCGGAAUUAGGGUUCUUGCCUAAAUUCGAUCGAAAUGGUUCAACACUCCUUGGCUCGGAAUUCUAAUCUCAGCUCUCAUGUCCCUCGGAUUAUCGUACAUGAACUUCACAGACAUUAUAUCCUCGGCGAAGAAGAAAACUACCAGAGCUAAAGAGGCCUUACCGAGUUCCGCUGAAAAUACCAGGGCUGGUGAUUAUGUGCUUGAUACCUUGGGCGUUUUUAAUACUGAUUAUAGUGUUUGCUACUAAGAUCGUGUACCUUAUUUGCGGUGUAAUGACCAUAGGAGUAAUCGGUUGCUACUUCUCGAUCAAUUACUUCAGGAAGAAGAAGAUGUUCGAAUUCAACCAAGUUAUCGAUGAUCUUGAGUUAAACAGAGGAUUUAUCAAAAAGGACUGCGAGCCAAAGCUAUAACAGAGGAUUUUAUCAAACUGAGAUAGGUUCUUCAAUUCAUUGUAAGUUCCUUGCUACUGUAACAUUUUAGUCUGAUAAAAGAAAAACUGUAUUGAUCAAUGAUAGUAAGUUUUACAGCACAUUUCUGAACAGAGAAACUGGUUCAAGAAGACAAACAUCUCUUCUCAUGUUUCUUUUUUUAUUCACUCACACACAACACAAACAUGAAACAAACAAAAAACGUACAAGAAAUCGAACUCCUCGAGGUCGAUUGUGAUCAGAUCUUGGCGUAAUCGACGGUUUUCUUUCCGUCGUGUGCCUUCCUGAAGAAAUACCUGACGUAAUCAGAGUACAGGACGUCUCUGUAAAUCGGUUCCUCUCCAUUUGCAAUCACCUCAGGUAGAGGACCAAUCACUGACUCUGGUUUUGGAUUCACAAAGAUAGGAACAGAGAUUCUGUUAUUGUUGCCAUUGGCUAAGACACGAUGCUCCACGCUCUUGUACCGACCAUUGCUCAAGAUCUGCAUCGCAUCUCCGAUGUUGAUCACAAAAGAUCCGGGAACCGGUGGCACGUGAACCCAGUUCCCUGACGCCAGAGAACGCACGUGUAGACCGCCGAUCUGAUCUUGUAAGAGAAUAGUGAGAGAAGAGACGUCUGAGUGGCGACCAACACCGACGGUUAGGUCCGGGUUAGGGCAGAUCGGAUAGUAGUUGAGGUUGACUCGAAUCGAACCCAUAAAGAGUGAUUCUUUCGUCUCGUCGAGCUCUUUAACAUUGAGAUUCUUCCCCAAAUACUCUAGAAGCUUCCUCACCAUCUUCUUUGACUUGUUCAUGUACUCUAAUGUUUCAUUCCUGCAAAACCAAAUAAUCAAGAAUUCUAUAUAAGUCAAUGAUUACAACAGAAGAAAGAUUUGAUUUAGUAAUUGAGAAACUUACCUGCAGAUAUCAGGCCAGAACUGUUCAGCUUCAGCUUCAGAGACAAAGAAGAGACUGAGAUAAUCUUUCCACUCGAGAGAUUUCUCUGCAAGGGGACUAAAACUCGUCCCAAACCUAACAUUCGUCGACAGAGAAUUCUCUUUAGUGAAUUUGCACUUCUCUUCAACAGGGAGAUUGAAGAAUCUGUGAGUCGCAGCCUUCACGUCGUCAAGAACUUCCAAAGGGACUCCAUGAUUGAUAACUUGAAAGAAACCCCAUUUCUCAGCAGCAUCACAGACAGCUUCAGCGACUCUGUUCUCGUCAGGGCUCGACAUAUCGAUCACCGGAAUGGCUUCAUCUGUUUCGUUGACGAAUUUGUUGAUGAGUCGUUCUUCAAGUGGCUGGAUGUAUUGAUCUGGAAGAGCUUUGAUUCCAGUUUCUGAUAAACCCUUUACACCAUUUCCUUUGUGAACUACGAAGUCGGUUACUUCAGCUGGGUUUGAGAAUUGGGUUGUUGAGAGUGUUGGAGCCAUUGGAUCGGAAUUGGAAUAAAAAGAUUGAGACUUUUGGAUUUUGAUUGUGUUGUGAAGAUUUGUUACAGAGAAGAAAGAGUAUUUAAAAGAGAAGAUGAAGAAGAGGAUGCAAUCAGCUGCUGACCGAACAACCACUAUGGCUCUCACCAUGCUUCUGCCGUUUUUUUCUCUUCCCGCGUUAAUUCCUCAAUUUAAAAAUUUCAAUUUGUAUUAAUUAAUAUUGGCUCUCAACAAAUUAUUUGGGUAUAAUUAGUAUAGUCAACUAUCAUAUGAUUAUUACUAAGAUAUUUUAGAUACAUCAAAAAUAGUAAAUGUUGUUAUUACAGUUAGCAUAGACAACAAAAGGUGAUUACACAUAUAUGUAACCUUAAUCAGUGGAAUCUUAUUAGUUGACCAAUUGUUUUUUUUAAAUGAUUCUACACUUGAUUUUAUCAAAGUUUGAUUUUUAGACUACCUUCAACGGUGGGUCUAAGACCAUGUCCAAAGCCCAAAAAGUUCAAAAAAUAGAUUCAUACUGAAUAAAAACAAUGGAUUUGGGUCUAAUUUUGGAUUUUUACAACAGCUUUGGAUUUGCUUACGUGUCGUUAUUUGGUUGGUGGCCAUUUAAUAUUUUUUUUCUCCCGUGUUUAUUUUUUCUUUCUCGUUUAUCGUCUCUCCCUUUCUCUCUCACUCUUUCAUAGAUCCAUCGUGUUUUCUCUCUUUCUGGUAUCAAUGGAUUCUCUCGUUGAAUCCGGUUGGAAGGUACUUUCUCCAUCCCCGUGUUCCUCUAUCUCGUGUCUUUGUUAGGUACGGGAGAAGUAUCUGCAGUGUUAGGUUGAUUUUGUUUGUGGUCCAUCGCAUUGGAUUGUUGUGGUCCCUUUGUGUUGAGAUUAGUUUGGUUUCGUGUGAUUACUUUGUGGUUUGAUAUUUCGAAAGUUUUAGCUCUGUCACGAGCUCACGACCAACGAUUUAUCUAUAUUAUCUUUGGAAAAAUCAAUGUUUGUUAUGAAUGUGAUACAGUUAAAAUUAUAUGUCGUGAAGUUGUUUGGGAAAUUGUAUGUUGUGUUUCCAAAUAUUGCAUACAAGUGUACAUUAGUGAAAUUAUAUUUAAACUAGAGAUGAUCUUAGUAAUCAAAGUGAAAAGACAUCUAGCAAAGAUAAUAGUUUUACUUUCAAUUACUGUUUGGAUGAAAAAAACUCGAUCCAACCAAAAAUAAUUUGGAAAAAUAUGUAAAACUAGAAAGAUAAAAUUAAAAAAAGCUAAUUAUUAUUAGGACUUAGGAGCUCUAGGAAACAGGACUUUCGCGAUGUCGCGAGAAAAAUAUUUUAAAAAUUAUUUAAAAAAUAUUAACGAAAAAUCAUAAUAAAUUGUAACAAUUUUGAAAAAAAAAUUAUAAUAAGAAAUUCAUAUAUUUUACGAAAUUUAUGAUUAAAAAAAAACCCUCAGAAACAUUUAUUAAGUAUAUUAGUAUUAGAAAAACAUUAAUUUGCAACUAAAAAAUUAUUCUCAAGUGAAAAAGGCAUCAAAUAAGUCAAAAUGUUCAUUUGUUCGGCAAAUAAAUCAAAUGCUACUAUGUUAAAUUAAACGGUAACAAUAAUUCAUUUAAAUAUAUUUUAGCAAUUAAAUACUUAAAAAAAAUACGAUGAACUUUAAUCGAGAGACGUGACCGUAGAUAUCAAAUCUACCAAAAGUUGCAACGGUACGUCAAAUAUACCACAUGUUGCAAUGGUUCAUCAAAUAUACUAAAAAUUACAAACCAUUGCAAUGAUUCGUCAAAUAUACCAAAUAUUGCAACAGUUCAAUUAAACGGUUACAAUCUCAUUUAAAUACAUUUUAAUAAUUUAAAAUUAAGAAUUAAAAAUAAUAAUUUAUGAAAAGUUACAUCGACGGUAGAUGAUUAAAUGUUAUAACGAUUAUAAAAUAAAUGUUGCAAUUGUUCGUGAAAUAAGCUAAAUGUUGCAAUGAUACAACUAAACGGUUGCAACCGUUUAACGAAGAGUUAAGAUAAAAAGAUGCAACCGUAUAAAACAUUUACUCGGAUUGCAACUUUCUCAAAAACAUAACGUAAAAUAUUUUUCUUUCAGUUUUUUAAAAAAUGAAAUGUUACUAUAUACCAAAAGUUGCAGCAUUUCGUUAAGUUCAUCAAAUAAACUAAAGAUUAUAACGUUGGUAAAACAAAACCAAAAGUUGUCGUCAAAUAAACCAAAUGUUUCAACGGUUCAAUUAAAUGGUUACAAUCUCAUUUAAAUACAUUUUGUUGAUUAAAAAUUAAAAAUAACAAUUUAUGAAAAGUUAUACCGAUUAAAUGUUAUAGCGAUUUAUAAAAUUACAAUUGUUCGUGAAAUAAACUAAAUAUAUAAACCGAAGGUUCUAGUUGUUAGUGAAAUUAACCAAAUAUUAUUGCAAGGAUUCGAAUAAGCGGUUGCAACUCUUUAUGAAAAAUUACAAUAAAAAGACGCAACCGUAGAAGACAUUCGGAUUACAAUUUUCUAAAUAAAACAUAACUGUAAAAUAUAUAUUUUAAUUUUUUAAAAAAAUAUUAACGAAAAAUUGCCAUUAAAAGACACAACUGUUCACAAGUGCAAAAAACAUUGAGAUUGUUAUUAUUAUUAGAUUAGUUUAAUCUUAUACUUGUACAACAAGGUAGUGCCCAAAACUUGUGAUACACCAAAAUAUCUAACCCUAGUUUAAAAAAUCCCUAAAGCCGUUUAAGCGAGAUCAAUUCUCGUUGCUUUUCUCGCAUUUCCACCGAAAAAAACAGAGCAGAGUAAGUAAAACAGGCUUGAACAAUCUGUGUCGAGCUACUCCAAUGGCGGACAUGUCAGAGAAAGAGAUCUGCAUAUUGUUACGCCUGGGGUCUUCGAUCAUUAAAGAAUUAUAUAUUAGAGGGUAUAUCAUUCCUCAUCCGAUGGCAAAGUCGGGGUUUUUGAGCAGCUCUCUAGGUUGUGAAGUUCCAACAUCCUUUUCUCUGGGUUACAGAGCCCUGCACAAGUAACAUUUUUAAUCCAAAUUGUGAUCAAUUGUUGCAGAAAUGCUUAUGGAAAGUGACUUUAAAUCCAUUCUUUAAAACCGGGAACGGAGAAAAUGAACCUGAGCAUUUCGGUAUAUCCCAAACAGCAAUGGAGUAUGGUGAGCACUCUGGUUCACAAAGGGUGUGAAGGUUCUCGUGGUUAACGUUCAUUGCCAGCAUCCACGCACCUAUAGUCACGUCCUCAUUGCUAAACAUCCUGAAACUGUAGUUUGGGAAACAAAUUCACCUUGUUAAGAUGAAGUCAGAACUCUUCUAGGGUGAAGAUACUUCAAAGACAAAUAAUAUUGAGGAGACAGAACUUGCCUGUUGUUCUUGAGGGCAACCAAACUAGUGACAACAUCAGCAGAAAGAGCAUAUAUGGGGCCAUAAGCAUGAAGAAAGUACUCUUUCCCGAGCAGAUCUGCCAAAGGUUCAUACCUGCAAAAUUCCAACCGAUUUCCAGAUACAUUGAACCACAAGAAAUAAUAGGGUGUCACAGAACAUAUCUAAUCACAAAGUUUCUCAAAAGGAUAGCAUGAUUCACGUGUUCUGUUAGUUGUUCAUUAUAAGUUGUUUCUGUCCUUACCAUUUGAGCUUUGGAUCUGUGAAAACCGGACCUUUUUUCAGGCAUCCGAGGUAUGUCUGCGAGUGACUUCGCUCUUUAGCCAACAGCAAAGACAACCGAUCUGUGAAGAAAAUAACAGUCUCUUAUGAAAUCCAGAACUUUCCUGAGGACACAAAUUGCAAAACCAGAGACUGCAUUCAAUUACCUGGCCUCAAGUAUAUAUCAUCAUCAGCUUUGACAUAGAAUUCUGAAUCAUAUAAGGCGUAUGCAGCUUUGAAGAAAGCCAAACUACACAACCGAAAACGUAAACAAAGACCAUGAAUUAGAGCCCUUCGAGUUAUCUGUCAUAUGAGAUGUGAAUUGAAAAAGUAUUUAGACUCUAACUAACGUUUUGUAGGGGAGCUUACUAUACUCCUCCUCGAGAUCUAGCAGUAUAAAGUCAUCGUACUCUGCGAUUUCCCUUCUAAGCUCAGCCAUUUUGGCCUCAUCUUUGGUUUUGCCUAUAAUAAAUCUAAUGGCCAAUCCUGUUGAUUCCUCCAAUCUGCAAAGAACAUUUUCAGUGAAAUAGAGAAAGUCCCAAGAAUCAUGAAGCAUUGAAGAUCAUGAGUGUGUAUUCCGAAGAUUUCUAUAUGCAGUCUUCAAGGUCUAAGAUUAAGAUCAAUGAUCAAAUCAAAAUAGAUGAUGCAAUUAGUUCAAUCCUUGUGGCAAAUUGAUUCCAGAGAAGCUAGAAGAAACCUAUCAAUUGAGAGAAGAUUGAAUCAGUACCGUCGAAGGCCUUCGGGAUCGGACGGCAUCCAUGUGUUCCUGAGAGCUCGUCUCCGGCCAGCAGAUCUGAAUCCGGUCUGGAUUCCGACGAAUCCCAUAACCUUGUGCCUUUUGACUUCGCCAUUAACGAUACUAUUUCCAACUACGUCCCAGGCGAUUUUAACCGUCUUCGGAGGCAAGUUGGUGAGGCAAGUCCGGCCGGAUAACCGGAGACCCGGGAAAAGAAUCGUGGAUAAUCCGAAAAGGAAACCGGUUAGACCGAUAGCAAGAGAGGUGAAGACGAUCAAAGGCGUCGAUCGGCGCGUGAAGAGUGAUGGCCGCGCGUUAAACAGCUUAGGAGAAGAUGGCAUGAUUUUGCUAACGAACGGAUCCUCCAGCUACGGCGGAUCCACUUUCCCGGAAGCUUUUGUAACGGUUUUUUUUUUUUGUUUUGUUUAUUCAGCUCAGGUGGAUUCGGGUCGGAUCCUUUUGAAGAUGCACGGAUUUAUGUGUAUGUUUGUAUGAAAAUUGUGAAUAAAAUACAUUUUUUGAACAUUUAGAGGUUAUGACUAAAAUACAAUAUUAACAUUAAUGAUAACUAAAGUUAGGCAGGUAAUUAAUUUAUUUGACCAACAAAUGUAGACUACUUUUAUGUUAAUAAAUACAUAAAUGACUCAUAAAUUAUCAGUAAUGUCAAUGGAAAAAAUCUACUCCCUCCGUUUCGUUUUAGUUGUCGUUUAAGGUUUUCUCACACAAAUUAAGAAAAACAUUAAAUUUUCUGUUUUAACCUUUAUUAAUAUAAUUUAUAAAAAAAUUCAUUGGUCGAAACAUUAAAACAGUAGGGAUAAAACUGAAAUUUUCACAAAACAUUUGCAUCGAAAACCUAAAACGACAACUAUUAUGAAACAAAAUUUUAACUCUAGAACGACAAGUAAAACGAAACGGAGGGAGUACUAAAUAUAAGUAAGUAAAGAAUAUAUAGCAUUAUGACAAAAAAAAUAAAAUAAAAAUAAAGAAUAGCAUUCAUUGAUAGGUGAAAGCGUUUUAAGAAAUAAUAAAAGUAGAUUGUUGUUUAAUUGUUAAAGUUGUACUAGGCAAUACUUUCACCAUUGGCCAUUAGGUUACACUCACUUGGAUGAAUAUAUUGGAUUCAAAUGACUAUAGAGAGUGUAUUGAAUUUAAGAGACUUUUUUUCUCGAUUUUGGGAAACCAUCACAAUAUAAGCUGUUUUUUAGUCAAAGGCUCAAAACCAAUGAAGACAAAUUUCUGUAUUGAAUCCAUUUGGAGCGAGCGCUACAAGAUAGGAGGAUCCCUGAGAUUUCCCUUGUUGGAAUCGUUUUCAUUACAGAUUUAUAUAAUCAGAGUUGUUUACUAAGGCAUUACAUAUUUAUAUAAUUAAAAUCUACAAGAAAAGGUAAAUACAAUAUCCAAACUAGAAACUUAACGAUUGACAAAAAAAAAAAACUAGAAACUUAACAAAAUCUACAAAGAGAAUGUUCCUUAAUUAUACUCUCUACCAAGAUAUUUGGAAAUGAAUACACUUUCGAUAUCACUCAAAACCCUACGAACUAAUUUAUAUAAAAUCUCUAACAAUCUCUUUAAAAUCAUCAGAAUAUCCUUGAAGUUAACUAAAACCACACCAAAAAAGUUAGAUCCACAAUUCAAUACACCUCCCUAAACUAUAUCUAUCAAAACUCAAAAGGGAUGAGAAACAGAAAAUAGCAAUGAACUGGCUUGGUGAAAUGAAUCAUAUUGUAUUGAACAUUCAAACGCAUAAAGGAAAGAGAAGUGAAGGGAUUACAUAAAUCAAACAUAAUAAACGAAACUAACACAAAUGGUUGAGAGAUGGGUUUUAGGGAUUAGAACGGAAACAUGGCACGACACACCGGACAAAUCCCACUACUCCUAAGCCAAUCUUCAGCACACGUGCGAUGGAACACGUGAGAACACGGCAUUCGACCCGCUGCCAUAUCCGAUCCAACUCGGAUCGUAUCCAUGCAUAUCACACAAUAUCCAUCAUUCUCAACAACAACCGUCUCCAAGUGCUGCUCUAUCGCCUCAUUGCUCGCCGGAGCCACCUCAAGUUUCACAUCUACAUCAUCAUCAUCAUCAUCAUCAUCAGGAAACCUCCACACAAUAACAUUUAUGACUACAUCUACCUUCAUCACGUUAGAGAUCUUAUCACGCUCCUUCAAAUCAAAGAUUGCAUCAAUGAGUUUUCUAACAACCUCACUAUAACGAGGGGCUUUAAUCAAAUCAAGCAAGUGAUAGACAAUGACUUGUAUCUGCUCCCUAUCUCCACUGAAAAGUAAUUCUUUAUCAAACUCUUGAGUUUGAUCACGGAUUAGAGUUUCAAGAUUGUCAACAUCUUCUUCUUCUCCAUCUGAAUUUACUUCAGGGGCAAGAUUGUAACACACAUGAAAAAUGAACGUCAAGUUUUGGGUUCUGCGAAAAUCGCCUUCGUCGUUGUAGAUCGGAUCAUAGUAGACGAAGCUGUCGGGGUCUGGAUUGACAGCAUCAAAAACCAUGAUUUGUUCGGAAAAAUGGGUUUUUGGUGUUUAGGGUUUUGAGGGUUGAUGAGACUUGAAAAAGAAAAUGAAUAUAUUUUUAGUUUACUUUUAUGCGGUUUCCUUGUCUUACUAGGGUUUUCUUUCAAAAAAAAAAAAAAAGUGACGAGAGGAUAUAGUGAAAGAAACGGUCAAAGUUUUUUUUAGUCUAAUAAAAUUAUUCCGAAUCUUGAGAGCUAUCAGAGUCAAGUUGUUCAUCAACACAAAGCAACAUCUCAUCGCUAACAUUAUUUACUACCACUACUCCUACACCACUAACUUCUUCUAAGGAAGCAGAGGAAGAAGAAGCUCUUGUCACUUCUUUUCCUUCUUCUGAAAACUUUGAUAUCUCUUCCUGCAAACAUUCUUCUUCUCCCAUGGAGACUGUUGUUGUCUUUGGCCUAUCAUCGGCAUUGCUGUCUUGGGUUGGGUUCUCUGUUUCUGAAGUUGGUUCUGUUUGCUCGGCUCCAAGUGGCACGGGUAAGCCUGGGACUGGUUCUUCAUCUGAACCUGAUGGAACCAUCUGAUCACAGCUCUCAACUUGGGUACUCAUGGGAAACUCGGCUUUGUCUAGGCCUGGCUCUAGAUCUGCUUCUUUGAUUGAUGGGUUAUUGCGAUCUUCACAAAGACAUGCACCUGUGCAAGAGCAAAAAUCAGAUGAAGUUUGUUGUAACUAAAGCGAGAGAGAGAGAGAGGAGUUGGCUUUACCUGCCACAGUGUUGGGUUUUGUGCUCUCGUAUAGUGUUUUCAUGAGCAGAAUUGUCCCAGGGAACACCAUCAAGUUUAUUCUUUUGAGAGCAUCACGCUCUUCAUCAUCCAUGGGUUUGAAGCCAAAACCUUCAGUCCAAGUCUCCACUAAACUUGGCAAUGCAGCUACCACAAGCUUCUCCACUUUGAGAGACAUAAGCAUCUGCAGCCAAAAACCAAUGAAUAGUUUUAUAUUUUGAUAGCCGAGGAAUCAAGACAAGAAUGGAAGAGUGAACAUGAGCUAAGAAAUUAUCAAGGUCAGCAUAUGAGCGGUGCUGUAUGUCUAUCAUUGUACUAAGUUCAGACAUUAUUAAUGUGGAUGGAGCCUCGAGAACAAUCACAUGGAUACAGUCUAAAUGUUGUACCUCUUCGAUGGCAGCCACGAGGAUUCUGCACAUUCCCUGUCGGCGAUAUUUGCUGCACGUAGCUACAAGAGGCAUUUCUGCAACAGUUACUCCAUGAACCCUGGGUAUAGUAAAAUGGGUUUUAUAUGUAAGUCGUUCCAGUGUAUGCAGGUGAAAGAAUAGUUCUAAGCAUCCAUUUGCCAAUAGUGUCAAAUUUUUGUUUCAUUGCCUGGAGGAUUCUAGAAGACAUGCCAAACAUGUGAUAGCCAUGAAAUUAUUGUUUUUUCAGCAUAAAUUCGAAUUUACUCAUACUAACCUGAUAGAUGCUACUGAGAUCAUCACAUCAUCCUUUUCCAAAACCAUUGUGUAAAACCCAUCAAAGUCUAAGCGAGCAAAAUUUGACCUUUAAGUGCAACAAAAGAUUCAAAAAGGUAAGACAAAUCGAUGAAUAUGAGAGCAGAACUGAAGGUACAGAAUAACAAACAGAAAUCAAAAUGUGCAAGCUAAUGACAAAAGGACGUUACCCCCAGUUGUAUAGCACAUGAGGUAUCAUGUCAAUACCAGUUCUUGGAUCUACCAUAGACAGAAAGCUUUCCUCCAUAAUUGAUAGGGCAACAGCUAAUUUCGAGUUGCAUUCAGCCUUCAGCGCUAACCUUCGGGCAGAAUGAACCUUUCCAUCUUCUUGAAAACAUUUCAGAAUUGACCAAGACAGACCAUCCGCAUUAGGGUUAAUGACCCCAACACGAGAACUGAGGCCAGUGUACACCUGCAUUACACAAACUACUUAAUGAGAACCUUGAAAGUUGUUAAGCAGCUGUAACAUCUUCUUUUGUUAUAUGUCAAAGAGCCCAAGAGCAGCGAAAAAUAUAUGAUUUUCAAUGCAAGUCUAGAAAGUGCUUGGAAGAACAAAAGUUAUUCACGAUACACAUUAGUAGUUUAAAUCACAGAGACUAGGUAUGAUUUAUACCUUCUCGCAAUUUUUACCACAAAAGUAGGUCUCUGGAAAAAGUUUUCUGCGUUUACUUAUCCCUUGCAAACAUAUUCCAUGAUCUGAUAACAUAAAAAAAACAAUCAUCAGCCAAAGUGGAUUUCAAACCAAAGUAACUAAUGUGGGAUUCAACUGUCAAGAGAGGCAUAACUCCAAAAGUGAGUUUUAGAAAGUGUCAAUCACUAAGAAAGGAAAAUGGAGAAGUGCCGAGCCUGGCAGAUAAACCAACAUCUACAACUGUGACUGAUGGACAGUGAGACAUGAUAGAAGACAAUUCAAAUCAGGGGUUUCCUUUCAUGUGAUAAAGAAAUAAAUCAUAAUUUCUAAGAGAUGGCGAGCAGUAAGAUGAUUACAUUUAUGCGCACACUGGGAACAUUUAAAAUCCUGAGAGCGUUCACCAUUAUCACUAACCAACUCGCUGCAUAUCUGACAUGAGCAGCUCGAGCAAUACCAACUUCCUUCAGGGAGCACCUGUGUAGAGAAAGCAAAAGUAAUACAGCCACGCUCUUUAGAGGGUAGCAAUUUACAGAGGAUACAGUUCUAGUAAGGUAAAAAAAUCCUAGUUAUACUAAAGUUGAAUAAGUAAAACUACAGAAUCAGCCAAGAAGUUUCACCCAUGUGUAUGUUUGAACAAUACCAACUGGCAACUGGAGAAGUUUCGCCCCAAUGUUUAACAUAGAGUUAAUUACUGGGACAAAUAAUAGCCAAAAUGUUAAAUCAUACCCUGGGAUGAGCCAGACAAUACCUGCAUUGAUAAGCAAGCCUGAUGGAAGGUAGAUGGACAAUUAUCACAGCAGAUCAGCUCACCCCCAUCACCACAAACUCCACAAGAAUCAUCAUUUGGAUCAUCAUCAGAAGCUUCCUCUGAUCUCCAUCCAUUUCUUCGAGCCUUAUACUCAGCAGACCAAGCUUCCAGCUGACAUGAAGCGAAAGGCUUUCCUGACCCCAUGAAAAGAUUCAGACAUGGACAGUUCUGGUUAAAUCCAGCAUGGUUCUUGAAUUCAGAAAGUGAUACAGUCCUGUUGCAACAUGUACAAACCACUCCAUCUUUAGUUACCAGGCCUGUUUUUACCACAGUAUCAUCAUCUGGAUCUCGUAACUGGAUUACUUCGUCCCUAGAAAUUACUUUGGUAGCUAUCAACCAUGAUAAGACAGUUCUUGGACCCAAAAUAGACCAAUUUCCUUGACAAAAUUGAUUUUCCACAUUGCUUGUGCUUCGGGGAAGCAGCCUGCACCCUCCUUUAUUGUUUCUCUUUUUUGUUCUAGCCUUUGGUUUCUGGGUUUUCUUUUUCUGGCUUGAUCUGCUACCCCUCCCUUGGUUUCUGAUUGUUUUCGACACCAUAAGGUCAUCAUCUUGAGUAUAGUGCUUCCUAGCUUUCUUUCUUCCUUUCUUUGCAUUGCAACAUGAAUUCUUCAUCUUCUCAUUUCUCAACCUUUCAUCCCGACUUGCCUUUGAGAUGAGGUGACUGUUGCCCAUCUCUUUAUCCUGGCAUUCAAGGCUAUCGAGAGAAUUAGAAUCUAGUGAAUCAUGUUGGUCCAAGGGAGCUGGUUUGAUAUCAGAUAUUUUUUUUGAUCUUCUGUGUAAGUUCUUUCUCAUAACACUUUCAUGCAUGUCCUCUGCUAUCAACUUUGAAGCUACAACGCCCUUGCUAGCCUCCUGCUCAUGAGUCCCAGAGAUUUCCUUACCAAUUAUGUUCUGCCUCUCUAGUCUUGAAGAAACUUUUCGAGGGAAAAUUUUAGUUUGCACCUCAAUAUCUGAAUGAAUCUCUUGGUUAGCAUCCACGUCAUAAACAAGGUGACUGCCUUCAGAUACUGUCAGCACACUUUCAGGACAGCCUGAAAUCAUGUUCAAACUAAUCGCAUCUUUUUUCUUCAACUUGUCAAGAACUGAAUUCCUUGCAACUUCAACUUUAUUUCCUUUUCUCAAAGAACCAACUUGCUUAGAAAUGAAGACAGCAACCACAAAAGGCUCUAAGGCACUCCACCAAAGUGCCCGUGUGUUAGCAAGAUUUAAAUUUUUCAAGUUCUCCUCGAUGUCCAGCAGAGUAAGAGAGAGAUCGGACCAGAAGUCAUUGAUACCGGUCCAUUUCUUAGUACCAGUAUCCAUUAACUUAUGAUCAGCUAAUAGGAUAGCACCCAAUGAUUUCCAAGCUGACCCAAAUUCACGAAAUUUCCGUCCCUCUGGCGAUAUGUAAAAUGUUUCUAUGUGUUUCCUACCUGCUGAUCUUUUGCGCUUCUCGAUUUUCCAUCUGGCAGCAGUAAGCAACUUACAGACAUAUUUGUAGAGAAGAGGACGGGGGUCCUCUUUAGGAUCAAUCUUUAGACAGGUUUUAGACAUAAUUAACUCAUCAGGAGUGAAGCAAGCCUUCUCACUAUGAGGCGUAGAAGCACCUGCACAGACCAUUCUGGUUGCGAAGCUCUCCUGAGAAACAGGAGAAGCAAUAGCUUUAAACUCCUUCCAAUCGCAUUUGUCCAAGUUUUGUGACUUAAACUUUCCGGAGACAAUGCCACCCAGAUAAACUUCUCUUCCCUUUUCUAUGCUUUGCUUUAGCAAAUAUGAGCUAGUUGAAACACCCUUGUUAGAUGAUUCAACUAAAUGUAGAGGGAUUAUUCGACAAGCUAUAUCCGAAUAACCAUUGAAAGCCGAUCCCUUUUCGUCCCUUGCAUCCAAAUGCUUAUUACCUGAAAGCUUCACUCUCUUAGCUUUUGUGUUAACCUCUGAACCAUCUUUUGAAGCAGAUGCCUCAGAACCUUGUAGACAUGCAUAUCCACUUGUCACCACAGAGUUGGAACUCAGAGAGGAAUUAACAUUCUUACUGGAAUCACAUUUGAAGUUAAUGACUCCAGUAACGAGACAUCGUUUAGUAGUAUUUCCAGGAUCACUUCCAAAGAAGACUUGUCUAAAUAUCUGAUGAUCCUCAUAAGUCCCCUCAAAGGAGUCACCUCCUGACAUCUCAAACUCAGCUCCGCGAAGCAUCUUCACAAACUAACUGCAUAUUUUCACCUUAAACUCAAAGGAAGGUUGUAGAUACCUGCAAUUAUAAAAAGUAAAUGAAUAACAAAAUCAUUUUAUAGAUAGAUGUACUAAAACUGUCAUCAGUGUCUCAAUCAAACAUAAAAAUGAGCAGAAAUUUCAUAUGAAAACACAAACCCAGAAGCACAACAUGGAUUCAAACAAGCUAAACUCAGAGAUCCUAAAAAAAAGGCCAAAACUUUGAAGCCUAGGGAACAACAACCCAGAUUUCAUGAAAUUGAGAUGUUAUAUUGAGUAAUUACAUACAAAAGAAAGCUGAAGAAAUGCGUGAAAUUACCAGCAUGCAGAAUGAAUCAGAGCAGCAAAAUUCGUGAAAUCGGAGUUCAAAGAGUGCGAAAUCUCACUGAAAUUUGCCAAAUUUCUUCGCCCUUAUCCUCUGCCAACCGCAAGUGGGAAACGCAUUUUCAUUCCAUUUCACGUUCUCUGCACUCACACACACUCUCUCUCCUUGAUCUCUCUAUCUCACACACAGAAAAGAACAACAAUUUGUUUCUCUUUUAUUUAGCUUUUUCUUCAAUAAUUGUGGAAGAAGAAACCCACCUCUGAUUCGAUGUUAAAUCUCAACCAAAAUUCAUCAGAUAAAUUUUGGCGAAUUUUUUCACCUCUCUGAAUCUGCCUGCCUCUAUCACUUUGUGCAGUGUGUGUAUUCUUAUUAUUGGCUAUUUCUCUCUCUCUCUCGUUUAUUUUUCCCUAUUUUCUUUUUAUUUCCUAUAAUUUGUGUGUGCUGUCAAAAAAGCAUCUUCAUACUCCCUCCGUUUUCGAAUAGUUGUCGUUUUAUAGUUUUUUUGUUUUAAAUUAGUUGUCGUUUUAAGGUAAUAAUGUAAUUUAUGUCAAUAACUACCCAAAUUACCCUCAUUUUAUUGAACACAAAUUAUUUGUAAAUAAUUACUUGUCAUUUUUAUGAGGUUAAUAUAGUCAUUGUAUAUCUUUUCUUAAUUUGUCCAAGUUAAAACGACAACUUAAAAAAACAAAGGAAGUAUGUUUUUAUUUUUAUUUUCCUUUCAUUAUACGGAAAAAGUCAUUCUUCAUUUUUCACCUUAAGAUUCUGAUGACAACGGACCAGCAGUUAUACAUAUACACUACUUAAUUCGAUUUAUUACAAAAAUUAAAACCUAAUUUUCUUCGUUUUUUCUUCAGUUAUCAAAUUCGUAAUCCUGUUAAUUAAUUACGACCAUAUAAGCCAAUUUUAUGCUUUGAGUUGGCCAUUUAAUUAACAGACAAAAUUGUUCUGACAAAAAAAAUAACAGACAAAUUAAAAAGAAAAAAUUUGGCAUAUUUAAUUGCCAGAUUUUUAACGGUUUUUGUUGUUGUCGUUUUAAAUCAUCUCAGCUUAUGUUUUUUCCUUUAAAAAUCAGUCAUCACCCAUCACCGAUGGUAACAGGUUUUGUCUUAAAAUUUUUGUUUGUAUUUAUAUAAGUUAAACCUAUUUUAACCCAAAAUAUAUAUAUAAUCAAUAUCUGUUUAGUGGAUUGGAUGCUUUGUAGUUUGCGCGGGGAAUCUGUACGUGUCUUAACGAUAACAUAUAUCACACAGGUGCAUGCGAUGGUGGACGACCAGCUUUGAUGAACAUAAUACGUAAUUUAACUUAUCUUAUUAUGUGAACAGAUUAGAUAUUACAUGUUUUGUAUUAACUAGCAAUAAGGCUCCGAAGCUCUAGAUAUAUUUGUUUCUUGAUUCGAUUUUGACAUACGAGAAUGAGGGAAUUCCAAAAAGUACAUGUACGAUGAAAACGACUUUGGUAGAUGAAAUGAUUUGUUUUUUUUAAUAAACGGAAUAAAUUCUAGAUACUUUUGUCUUUUUAAGAUUUAACAACGGGUUUUUAUAAAGACUUAACUAUAUAUGGUUUAAAAAAACAUUUUUCUUUUCUUUUUUGUAGAUGGUAGAACUCUUUAGCUAGCUUUGAUCCACAUAACGAAUAGUGAAGUUUGGCACAAAUAUUUAUCAAUGUUAUCAUAUAUCUAAAACGUUGAGUUUUUUAGCACAAAUAUUUAUUGGAAUUAGAAAUUAGAAUAGAGCAUAACAAAAAUCAUCACUUUUUAUACAUUCUGGCAGUAAAACUGCAUAUCUUGGAAUUGUCAAUUUGUCACACACAUUCUUGAUACAAUACAAACUCAUAAACUUUAUCUACAUGUACCACCAAGGACAUCACCAAGGUGGUAUGAUGAUUUUGGGAUUUUUGAGAAUGUCAACUCUUAUUAUCGAUACAAUAAGCGGUAUGAUUAUUUCUUUCACCGAAAAUGGAGCGUAAAUGAGCACUUGACAUACAUCAUACUCAUAUCCUAUAUGUGUUGCUUGGGUUGUCUAUGCGAGGACCAUUGCUUUCAACUUUAAGUGAAACUGAAAAACUGCGUGUUUUGGUUUCUCAGCCCAAACAAAAUCGUCGACUCUCCAUCUGAACAACCUCUUAUUUUACAAUAUAGAUACUUUGGUUAAGUUUAGUAACAAAUUGCGCGUUAGUAGCUAUUUUAGUAUUUAAAGGGUAAGAGUUGAUACUUUUUGACCAUAUAAAGCCAUAAAUCAUUGGAACACUAGAGAACAAAACAUCUCCCGGUUCAAAAGUUCGUCCGGUUUACUCUACUACAAUUCAAAUAUCAAAACGACAACACGUGCUUCCACAGAAUUAAGAACCGGGACGUGAUCUCGUUGAUCAAAUCCUUUUUCCUCGCCAACUUCAGGCCGUCUUAGUUUACCGAAACCGAAGUGGCUUUUUAUGAUUUUAUCCGAUACAAUGACGUGGAAAGAUUAAAGAGAAUCUUUCGCCACGUUCCACCAAUGAAUGCUUGACACGUAUCCAUCGAGUUUCUUUUCCUCAAUGCUUACGUCAUCGCACACGUCUAUCUUUUUGGGUCAAAAGUGAUAAAAAGGAGAGUCGUAGAUGGCAUAGUCACUUGAGUCUUUCCCACUAUUUUAACCCCAUUAGUGACACUCCUUUCUUCUCCACUACACUCCAUUUCUCUUUCUUCUUGAUUCUACUAUCUUUCUCUCUAAUCUCCGCAACUAUGGCUUCAUCUACGAAGACGGUGUGUGGGGUUUCACGAUCACGAGAUCAUACUUUUUUCCCUCCUCGUACGUAACGAUUUUUUUGUGAUCUUUGUAAUAAUUAAUCAGAGGUUUUUUGGCCUUUUAUUAGGUUUUGAUCCCUAUUGCACACGGUACGGAGCCUUUAGAAGCGGUGGCGAUGAUCACCGUGUUGCGUCGAGGUGGUGCUGACGUGACGGUGGCUUCCGUCGAGACUCAGGUUGGCGUUGAUGCUUGUCAUGGCAUCAAGAUGGUCGCUGAUACUCUUCUCUCUGAUAUUACCGACUCUGUUUUCGACCUUAUUGUGCUCCCCGUAAGUCCCUCUGCUGAUUUAACAGUCUCCAUUUGUUUUGUUUCUUUGUUUCUAAUCUAAGAAUUAAGGACAACCAAGAAGCGGAUCGAUCAAUUAUCAGUUAGCUCAAUUAACUUAGUUUCAAAAGUGAUGUUGAUAGUUAAUGCAAAAAACGUUGGUUUUUAGAUGUAUGUGUUGUAACUUUUGUUCUCUGAAACAACUUCAUAGAUUCUUGUUUCUUAAAGAUUUCAUAAUUGUGUUACUGAUAUACUUUUUGAUUAUGUGAUUGGUAAAAGGGAGGGCUUCCCGGUGGCGAGACUCUUAAAAACUGUAAACCUUUAGAGAACAUGGUUAAGAAACAAGACUCUGAUGGACGACUUAACGCAGCUAUCUGUUGUGCUCCUGCGUUGGCUCUUGGUACUUGGGGUCUACUAGAAGGCAAAAAAGUAAGUCAGAAGUGAUCUGUUCUUGUUUAUUUAUCUUCUUUUCAGUUCUUAUCUAAUGCUGGUUAUUACAUGGGGUUUCUUGCAGGCAACGGGUUACCCUGUUUUUAUGGAGAAACUUGCAGCUACUUGUGCCACUGCUGUUGAGUCAAGAGUGCAAAUAGAUGGAAGAAUAGUGACUAGUCGUGGACCAGGAACCACCAUUGAAUUCUCCGUCACGCUUAUAGAGCAGUUGUUUGGGAAAGAGAAAGCUGAUGAAGUCUCUAGUAUCUUGGUAUGUUUUUGUCUCUUGCCUCUUUUAUCAACAGCUGUUGUACGUGUUAAUGUCACAUCCUCUUAGACUUACUAGUUCUCCUUUUGCAAUCAGCUGCUUCGUCCCAACCCUGGUGAGGAGUUUACUUUUACUGAGCUUAACCAAACGACCUGGUCAUUCGAAGAUACACCACAGGUAAAUGUUCAAUGGCCUCUCCACUUGGUCCUUUAACAUUUUGCCAAGACAGUCUUUGUUUGAUCAUUAUACAGAUUCCUAGGAACAUGCUGUGUUGUAAAGCUUUUGUCUUUCUUGAUCAAUAGUCGUUCAUGUGUCAGAAAGAUAAUGCUUUCCCUUUUCAGAUUCUCGUACCCAUUGCAGAGGAGUCAGAGGAAAUUGAAGCCAUUGCGCUUGUAGAUAUCCUGAGACGGGCAAAAGCAAACGUAGUGAUUGCUGCAGUUGGUAACAGUUUGGAAGUUGUAGGAUCUCGCAAAGCUAAGCUAGUAGCAGAAGUGCUUCUUGAUGAAGUUGCAGAGAAGUCGUUCGAUCUGAUUGUGUUACCUGUGAGUAGUGCUAACUUUCAAAAGAUGAACACUAAUAAGUCUAAAAGUAAGUUUUGACAGUCUUUGAUGAAAAAUAACCAAAAACAUAAUCCAACUUCUUUGAUGAACUACAGGGCGGUCUUAACGGUGCUCCAAGAUUCGCUAGCUGCGAGAAACUGGUGAACAUGUUAAAGAAACAGGCAGAAGCAAACAAACCAUAUGGAGGAAUCUGCGCAUCGCCUGCGUACGUCUUCGAGCCUAAUGGUUUACUGAAGGUGCAUAAAUCAAAUCAUUACUAGAAUUCUAGUUUCUUGUUAUAGCUUAAGUCAUUGAACUGAGAUAUAAGAGACAUGUUUUGUAUAGGGUAAGAAGGCUACUACUCACCCAGUAGUGAGCGACAAACUUUCGGAUAAGAGUCACAUUGAGCAUAGAGUCGUGGUAGAUGGAAAUGUCAUAACAAGCAGAGCUCCAGGGACUGCAAUGGAGUUUUCACUUGCGAUUGUCGAAAAGUUUUACGGGCGAGAGAAAGCACUUCAGCUCGCAAAGGCCACACUUGUGUGAUUUCCGAACAAUGAAGUAUGAGAGUGACUUGAAUAAAAGAAGGCUUUGCCUUUUAGUUAUCUCUCCAUUGGUUAUGAGCUACUUUGUGAUAUAACAUAUGAGCAUUUGGGUGAGUGGUUGGUGUGUAACUUUAUGCCUUUAUAAAUGAAUACAUAUGAGCCUUUGGGUGAGUGGUUGGUGUUAGUUAUCUCUCCAUUGGUUAUGGCUACUUUGUGAUAUAAGUCAUAUAACAUAUGAGCAUUUGGGUAAGUGGUUGGUGUGCAACUUUAUGCCGAUUUUAUAAACGAGAUUUUUCUAUGUAUGUGGCCGAUAUUUUCUUUAACCCUCUGCAAGAGUAAGAGGGUUUGCUUGAGGAAGAUAUUUUAUUUUAUGGAGAAAUAUUAGUCACACUUUUCACCAAAUAUAAGGUAAAUACUAAUUUGCCCCCAUGUUUAGCUUUGGCGUAAUAUUUGUAACCAUUUGAUAACAUCAUUAUACCAAAUCAGUGAAAUAAAAUCUUCACUCUUCUUUUCUUAAACAGAAAUAAUUUUUCUACCAUUUGAAAACAGAGUAAUGUCACUAAUUUCUUAGCAAAAUGUGUUUAUUUGUAACUUACGGUAAAAAUGGGGCAAUUUAAUUGCAUCUGAUAAGACCAAGGGGUAUCACCGUAGAUUUCGCUGUUGUUCGUUCGGUUACGAAAUACCGAAAAUGCCCUCGAUCAUAAACUACUAUUAAACCCUCACAAAACCCUUGAUUUGAUUUCUAGCUUAUCUGUUUUACACACUCUCGGCUAGGGUUUUGUCUGCGAAACCCAAUCUAGAGCUUCCAUGGCGACGCAUACCAUUUCUCGCUCCAUUCUUUGCCGACCGGCGAAAUCUCUUUCCCUUCUGUUCACGCGAUCUUUUGCUUCAUCUGCUCCUCUCGUCAAAAUUCCGGCGUCUUCUCUUUACACGUCGUCUCUGCUCAGCCGUUCCCGUCCUCUCGUCGCCGCUUUUUCCUCCGUUUUCCGUGGCGGCCUUGUGUCUGUUAAAGGUCUCUCAACGCAGGCUACGUCGUCUUCUCUGAACGAUCCGAACCCCAACUGGUCGAACAGGCCACCUAAGGAGACGAUCCUGCUCGAUGGAUGCGAUUUCGAGCACUGGCUUGUCGUCGUGAAUCCACCGGAGGGUGAUCCUACUAGAGACGAUAUCAUUGAUAGUUACAUCAAAACCCUAGCUCAGAUUGUUGGCAGGUAAAUCCCCAAUUCAAAAGUAUCUUUUGUGGAUGUUCUUCUAGGGAUUUUAGGGUUUAAUAUGUGAGAAAUCCACUACUGUGUAUGGCGGAUCUGUGUGUUUACUUAGAUCAUUUUGGAGGUUUAAUUUGAUAUAUCUCGUUUUGAACAUUUUCAGUGAAGACGAAGCUAGGAUGAAGAUCUACUCGGUUUCAACUAGGUGCUACUAUGCUUUUGGAGCCCUUGUGUCAGAAGAUCUUUCUCACAAGUUAAAAGGUAACUCUUGCCUUGUUGGGUUUUAGUUUUCCCCGUUUCUGUGUUAACAUCUGCCUUCUAAUUUUCUUCUGUAACUCUCUAGAGUUGCCAAAUGUGCGCUGGGUUCUUCCUGACUCUUACCUGGAUGUGAGGAACAAAGACUACGGAGGUAAGGCUUUGUGUGCUAUUUGUAUCACAAACCGAGAAUUAGUGGAGUUGCUUUGAUCUUUCAUCAUACUUGCUGGUUUUGAAUUUGAAUUGUUGAUAAGGAGAACUAUCUGUUGUUAGUUUUUACUAUGUGGUUUUUUUACUUGCUCCAGGGCCGAAUUCUAUUUAUAUAGUUAAUUAACAUUUCUAAAAAUAGAUUUGGGUGCAUAUGUUAGAUUUGAUUAGUGAUAGCUAUUUUGAGACUGGUGUUGUAGAAGUCGCAGUGAUGUUGCUUUGGUGAGAGUUUAAAUCUUUAUGGUGAUCCUAUUAGAGAGUUAGUUUGAUGCGUUUCUUUUUUAUAUUGACUUUCAGGGGAACCUUUCAUCGAUGGCAAGGCUGUUCCUUAUGAUCCCAAGUACCACGAGGAGUGGAUAAGGAACAAUGCUAGAGCAAAUGAAAGAAACAGACGCAAUGAUCGUCCUCGCAACUUUGAUAGAACCAGAAACUUUGAGAGGAGAAGAGAGAACAUGGCAGGAGGCCCUCCUCCUCAACGUCCUCCAAUGGGAGGUCCUCCUCCUCCUCCGCACAUGGGUGGCUCUGCACCUCCUCCGCCUCACAUGGGUGGCUCUGCACCUCCUCCACCUCACAUGGGGCAGAACUACGGUGGACCACCACCACCAAACAACAUGGGAGGACAAAGGCCGCCACCCAACUAUGGAGGACCACCGCAAAACAACAUGGGAGGACAGAGGCCACCACCAAACUACGGAGGAGCACCACCUCCGAACUACGGAGGAGCCCCACCAGCAAACAACAUGGGAGGAGGACCACCACCUAACUAUGGAGGAGGACCACCACCUAACUAUGGAGGAGUACCACCACCAAACUAUGGAGCAGCACCGCCACCUAACUACGGAGGAGCACCCCCACAGAACAACAACUACCAGCAGCAGAGUGGUGGAAUGCAGCAGCCACAGUACCAGAACAACUACCCACCUAACCGGG
rnacentral:lncRNA from 1 species